GUUGUAUUCAGCUUGAAUAUUUCCAAGCCAUUCAAGAUUGCAUCAGCAUAAGUAGGUUUCAGUUCCAUGUUAGGGUGUAGUUCGAGCCACAAGUCCUGCUUGCUCUGGCUCCCUUGAGGGACCCGCACGAUGUAGUCUUUGUAAACUGGAAUGCCGUUGCCACCGCUCAUAUGGAUCACAUCUGCAUCACGCUCUGCUAUUUGAUUGUUGAUGAAUAUUAAAAAUACCUGUUGAUUUACAUUUAUGAACUCCUUUCGAGUCUCACAAAAGUGGAGUCUAAGGAGAUAAAGGAAACCAGCAUCAACUGUGAAGAUCCAUGUGAGAUUGUAAUUCAUGUUAAGACGGGGUUCAGGACCCAUUGAACGCAUAGUACUAUACACCAGAACAGGUGCGGAGUAAGCUGGCGUUUUGCCUGUGUACUUUAUCUUUACGCCUGGGAGAUAUGGAGUGUUUCCAGCUCGUCUAAAGAGAUACUCUGAAUCUUCAUUCCAUGUCCUGUACAUGCCAGCAUCUCCUGUGCUGCCGAUAUCUUGCCCCCCAACAUUCAGUCGAUAAACUGUCUCAAGCGCAGUUGUGUUAUCCAGAAAGGUGUCGACAUCGGGGCCCACAUAGGUCAGUGGAUUAUCAUCGCCACGAGCAUAGAAGUUGUCUGGCAUGGAAACGAUUUCGAUACCAUUAACGAAGGCAAAAGAUGCUGGAGACGGAAUGAAGGUUAAUUCAAGCUUCUGGUUGUCCCACACGGUGAUGAUGAACUCUUUGGUGAAGGAGUCAACUGGAGGUCUUAUAGCAGAAACUGUAAGAGAGGCACUAAAGUUGUUUAGUAGCUGGUAGGUAUUGGCACUAAGCGAAAAAUAGGAUUUGGAUAUAUCAAGAUUUGAGUAAGAAGAUGGAUAAAAGUAGAGACGCACAAAUUUUGGGCCAGGCAAGACUAGAAAUGUGUAAGUGAAUUUAGAGUGAAAAAUACGGGCUGUCUUGUAUGGGACUUGGUCGACAGAGGGGUCUUGAGUGGAGGCUUCAAACACAGAUGAGGCUUCUGGGGGAUUAGAGGCAGCAAACUUCGGCUGGGAAUCACCAUCCCAGCUGCGACCAUCUGGAGAUGACAAAUUAGAGGAUGCACCACAGUUAAGGAGUAUUAGAUCAGUGGGGCUGUAUGGCAGCAAGUAAUCUUCAGUAGCAGUAACAUAGAGGAAGAGAUGGAGGGGAGGGAGAAGGUAGAGAGCGAUGAAGAUGGACAUUAUGCUAUUUCUUUUGUGGAAUAGGUUGGAGUAAGAAAACCUAUGCAUUAAAUGCAAAGAUUUUGAUUUAAGGGAAGAUGAUCAGUGGCGUUUUUGUCUCCAUACAGUAGUAUAUUUGCUCAAGUUGAGAAUAAUCCAAUAAUAUAUUUGAAGCCCGGGGGAGUAGAAAUUCGACGAUAUGGCUAAUGGGAACAUAUUGCUCGCUGUACUUGGUCAGCUUUGGAUGGCUGCUUUCCAUUGUGUGGUUCUGAAUUCUGCCAUAAAGACGCCAUGAAUAGUCUAUGAAACUUAUUUUUCUUUUCUUUUUUCCUUGACUUUUUCAUUCUUUGAUUAAGAUCACACACACCACUUAAUUUCUUAUUUGAUUAAUAUUCUUAACGAGGUUGAAUGUAUUUCAGGUUGGUGUUCACCAUAACAAAUGCAGUAAUCACAGCUCCGAGAUUAGGAUUCAAAAGGUGCAAAGCUUCUUUUUCCUUAUGGUCACCGCCUUGAUACAAUGAUUGUCGCAAGUGCAAGUCUAUAUAAUCCUCACCGAUGCCUUCUGUCCAAUACACACACAUCUUCAUUAUAGACUGGCCUUGCUUCAGUCUUCAAUAAGAAACAUCGUUCUUGUUCCUCAUGAGUAGCCCUUUGACUCGCCUCAGAUCCAUGAAGUCUCAUUUACUUCUUUCUAUUAUUCUUCUGCAAUGAUGUCUUACUGAUAAAAUGCUCUUGUUUUUGGUUAUAAAUGAUAUAAUUUUACACAGGAACUAAUAGGAGGCUCAAAGGAUCGACCUAUUCCUUUUUGGUUCAUGAGUGUGCCUUUUUGGGCUGAGUUUAAAACCAAAAAUCUUCUCAUCUGGUAUAGUAAUCGCUUAAUUACUACAAAACUUGGUGGUAAUGAGAAAUCUUUCUUCCCAUUAAUCGAAGAAUAAUGGAUUUACCUCUCGACAUACUUGGUGCCGAAUAAAAUCAAUAGCACUAGUGAAGAAGAGGCAAGCUGUCCUCUCUUCCCUGGAGAUGGCAAUUUGUUCUCUCUCAUCCUGUUAAGCUUGGUUUCCAUACAUGAGGGGAAACUGAAUGGAGUUCUCGGUGGAUGAAAAAUAAUUGUAAUAAUAAAUGAAAUGAGAUUGAGUUUCAUUGUUGAAAAAAUCAUGCUGAAAUCACUUCAAUCCUAAGAUUAAUGAGUCGCUAUUCAAAUGGAAACCCACGCAGACAGAUAAAGAACUGACCCCUUUGUCCCCUCUUCCUCGAUCAACUACCAUGUUUGCACCGAUUGUAGUAAGUGUGCAAGGCCGAGAGUUAGGAUUGAUCGGUUUUGCACAGUUGCCAUAUAUUUGUGCAUUGCAAAUUGGUUGUCGUUCUAAACUCCUAUAGUUAAUAUAGUUACCCUGAGAGGCCAGUAGUCUCUGAUGCACUUCAGAUUCCAUAGAGAAGUCCUCUUCAUUACCUUCACCGAUUGUGGCAUUGAAAAUUGGACUCGAGUUUGCUUUUAGGAAAGGCAGCUGCAGAAGCAGAUGUGAUCACUGAAACCAGCAGGAUAGUUAAAGAGAGCCACCAGAGGAAUUCAAUACUUGCGUUAGGCCUCAUCUCUUUCUUUCUGUGCCCUUCUGUUACAGAGUUUGAAGAGCACUAAAUAAACGUCACUGCUAAGAAGGCUUCAAACUCUGGAUAUGGAGUGAAAGGCUAGCUUUUUUCCAUUUACAUGCUUUUUUACUGUGAUUUUAAUGUUGUAAACUAUUAAGAAUUAUCUCAAUUUAAUAACUUAAAUUAUUAAGUAAGAUCUUAAAAUAUAAUUUAUAUUAUUCAAGAAUAUUUGACAAAACAUCCUGCCACUUAUUUUAACUAUAUAUAUAUAUAUAUAUAUAUAUAUAUAUAUAUAUAUAUAAUCUGGAUUUUUGUUAGUGAAUUCAUCCUAAUCGGAACUUGAUAUUUCAUAUAAGGCUUCUUGAAGUUUUUUUCUUGUAUUCUGACUUUGAGCUUGAUGAUGCAAGGUUUUCUUGAAUUCAACUUUUAGUGGUGAGAAACGUAAAAAGCAUGCACAACUUUAGAACAAGCUUGAGUUUCUCUAAAUUUGGGUCCACCACCAUUUGACUUUGAUUUUUCUCAUUAAAUCUAAAGAGUAACCAAUAUCUUCAUUUAUAUCAUUCAUUAUAAUGGAGUCCCAAGAUAGCAUGAGACACCAAAGGUUGCGAUGAAAUAAAAGGAGGCAGGAAUUGAAUUCAAAGGUAUUUUUGCUGUGAACAAUUUCAAUCCUUUGUAUGAUUUUUUAGGGAGAAUCUUUCUUAUUGAAGAAAAUAUUGCCAUCAAUUGUUUGGGAACUAAGUUGGAAAAUUCUUUGGACAAUGUUUUAUCAAAUUAGAUGAACGAUGAAUGGUCAUAGGUUUUUAGAAAAAAUAAAAUAAAUUAAGCUUGUUGAUAAUCAAAAUAAAUGGAUCUUAAAGGUUGGUAGUUUUGAGAAAAUCUUUCAAGGUGCAGGGGUUUUGAUUCAUGUCUUGAAAGGUUAUUAAAACCUUUUGAAUUUUUUAUUUUGAAAAAAACAAGAUUGUUUACAUCUUGAUUAUGAAUUAUUUCAACAAAGUCAAUAUCAGCUAGAAUAAACUGAUAGAAUUGUCUUGUUUUCAACAUAUUUUCUACAUUAACUUGAAAAUAAUAGCUUCUUGACUUGAAAGGGUUAUUAUUUAUUUUUUUUGGGAGAAAAUUUGGAUGGUAAUAAACAUGAGUGAAAGUACAAGCACUAGGACAAUAACAAGAGAAAGAAAAUUAAUAGUUGAAAUAGAAUAGAGUAUAAGAAUCCUAAUUUAUAGUUUUAUUGAUGAAGAGAAAAAUCCACUAUUUCUUUUGCCUCUUUAAGAUGUUUUCAACUCUUUAAAUAAGCUCAAAAAUCAAACAAAACAAACUAGAAAACCAUAAAAUAAAGAAAAAAAUAUAUUAAAAUUCCUAAACAAACUUAAAGAAAUAAAAUUACUAUUCUCAAUAUUUGAUUUCCUAAACUAAAUAGAAAAAAUAAAAUCACCAUAAAAAAAUAUUUUUCUAAACUAAAUAAAAAAUAAUAAUAACUAAAAAAUCUUAAUUUCAUAAAAACCCAUGGCAUCAACAAUAACGUUGUUAAAGGUGCAUUUUGGGAUUGAACAAACAAGGGAGUUUGAAGAGAUUAAGAAUAAUUUAUUAUAGGUGAGCUGUUUGGAGUAGAUCAUGCUGAUGAAUAAAAACUAGCCUCACGGUAUCUUGAAUGCUUGAUGUUGUGGCUUGAAUUGGUUUUGAUGGUGUAAGAGCAUAUGAUUUCUUUUGACUUCUUGACCAGGAUGCUCAUUUUGAGCCUAGUAAAGACUCUUUGGAUAAAAGACUCUUUUACUUCUUUCAUGAAUUCAAUCUCGAAAUCAUAUUUUGAUAGAUUAUCUUGACACAAUAUUUUAAAUAUUUUUUUCAACAAUAUAUUUUAUAUAUUGAUAAUUUAUUAGUAAAAGCAAUUUUUUUCUGGAAAAUUAAUAAUUUCUGGAAAAUAUUAGAUGUACAAAAUAUUUAAUAUUUUUUUUAUAAUUAUAUAAUUUUCUUGUGGACCCAAUCAAAUACCUAAAUGAUAUUGCACUACAUGUUCUUGACUUUGAAAAUUUUGUUUGAGAAUACCACUUUAACUAAUAUAAAGGCAAGGCAUCAGUUUCAACUAAAAAAAAACUCUCUAGAUCAGGAAGUUUUAAACAUGAAAACUCUUGAGUUGAAUUUUAAGAGCAUUCACAAUUUUGAUAAUUUGAUGAUUCCAGGCAUCCCAUAAACAAUACCAGUCUUAAACAAUUUUGUUUGAUGACUUCUAAGGGUUUUUCUCAUCAAGUCUUUUGUAUAAAGGUUGACAUAUAUUUAUAAGAUUUGAAAAAAUAUCUAAAACAUAAUUGAGGCAUCCCAUAAACUUUUAAAGCUGGGUUUUAAUCUUGAUUUUAUUUAUGAAUUUAUUAGUAAAUUUUAUUGAUCAAGUGAUAAGGGUUAUUGAUCAUUGAUAUAUAUUGUACCCUAAAACAAUUAUUUUUAAUAUAUUGACAUCAUCUUUAAAGUCGAGAUAACUAAUUCAUUUUGUUUGAUAAUAUCAAGAAAUUUUUGUAAAUUGUUGAAAUGUUUGGUUAUUGGUUUUAAAAAUAAAAAAAAGACAUCAUCAAUAUAUAUAAUCAUAAAUUUUGAAUAUGGAUUAAAGAUGUUAUUUAUGAUGCUAUGAAGUUUUGAAGGAGUAUUUUUUAGUUCGAAAAACAUUAUAUCUCAUUUGUAAUGAUAAUGAAAUAAUGAAUGUUGUUUUGUAAUGAAUUUUUUUUUUAUCAAUUUAGAUUUGCUAGAAUAUUGAUUUAAUAAAAAUAUUUUGAAAAUAUUAAAGCAUUUUAAAGUCUUUUCAUAAGAUCUCUCUUGUUGUGCCUUGGAUAUCUAAUAUAUUGGAGCACUUUGUUAAGAGGCUUGUGAUUCAUGAUCAAAUGUCUUAGUGCACUUCUUUGUAUUUCAGCUUGAUUUCAGACAUAAAAAGGUGGCGUACGAUCAUGAUAAUUUACUAGGGCUUAUAAGGCACUUUUUGAGUAAUUCAUUAAUUUAAUUUUUUUUAAUAAUAUUUUAGUAUAUUUUUUAUUCAUUUGAAUUGGUCUUUCCUUUGUAGGGAUUUUCUUUUCAUUAAAACCUUUUUAAUAAGGUAACUGCACUUAUGACAUUUUUUUUUAAUCCUAAAAGGCACUAGGCAAGUUGGAACAUAAUCAUUUUCUAGAUGGUAAUGACUUUGGAAUACUGACGUGAGGUAAUUUCCAAUUAUCAUUGUACGUGAUUUGAUCUCAUUAUCAAAGUUUAGGAACUUGAAUGUUUGAAUUUUGAAAGUUAGCUUCAAUUCGAAGAGUUUAAUUUAUAGAUGAUUUUUUGAGAGCGGAGCUAUGUUUGUAUCCAUGAUUUUGUAAUAUAUUCUAUAGAUGAUGACUAUAUUUUUGGAAUCUUGAAGCAUAUCAGUUGGAGUCUUAAUAUUUAGAGUUAAAGUUUUCACUAUAAUAUCUAGGUUGAAUAAUGAGAUAGUGAAAUUUGGAUAACAAUUCAAGUAUGUAGAACCAUUAGCAAGAUUUGAUUGAAAGAUUGUAAGUAGUGAGUUUUAAAAGGUCAUAAAUUGAGGUGAUGAAUUGGUUUGACUACAAUUUGUAUGAGAGAGAGAGAGGUGAUCAUUUUUUAUUUGGUUUUUAUAAAAAAAGUAAUUAAACUAGAUUUAUAAAAAAAAAAAACAAAACUGAACCGAAACCGGUUCAAACUGACUGGUUUUGAUUUGACUCAAUUUUUGUUUGAUUGGGGUUCAGUUCGGUUUGGUUUUUCAGUUUAAAGUUUAUAAAACCAAAAUCAAACCAAACCGGUUGGGUUUUUAAAAAUUCUAAUCGGUUUUUUUCAUGGUUUGAUUUUUUUAGUUAAUUUGUUUUUUUUGUUUUCUUAGUUUAAUCAAUUUUUUGAUUUUUUUACUCACUCCUAAUCUAUACUAAACCCAUGUGAUAAAAAAUUAUCUUUCGUUAGUGUUUGGAACAAAAAAUAAGGAAAGAUAUAAUUGUUUCAGAUUGUUUGAUGAAGGCUGGUCUAGAUCAUAUAUAAUUGUCAUUACACAGUGCCGGUCUAACUUGAAAGAUGUUAAUACCCCAUUAAUUGCGACGCCUAAGCUCAUAACCAUAUCCAUGAAUUAUGAUCACCAUUAAGGAAGCGCAUAGGAACUCUUUAAUUUCUAGUUGCUUCUUAAUACAUCUUCCUGGACAUGCAUGUGAUCUAAAGGAACAAAGGGAAAUUAAAUGCUUAAGCAUGAAUGUGAUCGUUCUCUAUAUGUUCGUCUUCAAGCUUUGAAAUUUUUAUAGCCCAAUUAUUAUUAUAUUUUUAAUUUUUUUAUGUGGGAAAAGAGUAUCAAAAUUGUGGGAAAUAUUGUCGAACGUGUGCGGCGGUCGCGGCGAAAAUAACAUAGUUUUUCCAUUUUCUUAAUCUAUAAUGUAAAUCUAUCUAUAUCUAUGGGGAUACAAAAAUAUUGUCUUUUAUUGGUAGAAAAUGGAAUGGGAGUCGCCACCUAGUAUUUUGGUCACUAGGAACCCUAACUGGUCUCAGAGAUCGGGUACGGGGACUGGUUGCGUAAAGGGAAGGUAUUAGCACCCCAAAUACGCCCUACCUAAGGUAAGCUGCAUUGUUUUAUUGUCUGAUAAAAACUAAGGUAUUUUCGUGUUUUCCUAGUUGUUGGUCUGUCUAUGGUUCAAGAAAAAUCCUCCUCGGUAAGAAAGGCUUUAUCUUAUCGGGUAAAAUCCUAACCGUUCUAACGUCCAUACCAAAAUUUAUUAAUAAUAUUUAGGAAUACGUUUUACGUAUAAAUUCGUAAUCCCAAAUACUAAAAUAAAACAAAAAGAUUUUUUAGAAUUUUUGAAAUAUUGGCCUAGUUCUCAUGGCUUGAAUAAACUGGUUAUUAAAGCCAAAAUGCAUGUUAAUACAUAUAUUGUUUUGAAAAUUUUCUUUGUUGUGUGAAAAUAUGAUGUUAUAAUAUUUAUAUGUAUAUAUUGGAGAGACUAGGCCGUAUGCAUGAAAACAAAACCCUUUUUUGGAAAAUAUUUAUUUUUUGAUGUUUUAACAAAAAUCGGGUAUUUUAAUACUGGGUUUGUAUUCUUACGGUAUAAAAAUACAACCCAAUAUUAAUCCACUAUAAAAAUAUGCAGAAAAAUCAACAACAUUUUUAGGGACUUUUUAGAAUUUUUUUGAAAGCAAAAACAUUUUUUAUUUGAAAAUCUUUGAUAUUUUGACGAAAACCGGGUAUUUUUAACACUGGUUUUGUAUCUUUACGGUAUAAAAAUACAAACCAACAUUAAACCACUUUGACAAAAAUGCAGAAAAUCAACAAUAUUUUUUAAGAUUUUUCAAAAUAUAUUUUUUAAAGAAAAAAUAUACAUAUAUAUAUAUAUAUAAUAUAUAAUAUAUAUAUAAUAUAAUAAUACACACACACACACAUAUAUAUAAUUCACGUCCUGCGUGAACAGUAGGACGUGAAUUAUAUUUCACGCCUACUGUUCAUGCAGUGAACAGUAGAAGGAGGAAGAAGAAGAAAAGGAGGAAAGGAAGAAGGAGGAGGAGGAAAGGAAGAGGGGCUCACUUGGCCGAAGAGGUUGUGGCUGCUGUGAUGAGGUGGUUCAGCCGGUGGUUGCAGCGGUGGAGUUGGAGGAAGACGGCGUCGGUUUCCUGUUGCAGAGGAAGAAAGAAGAAGAAGAAAAAUCUGCAGAAAUUGGGCGAAAAUGCUGGUUUUUGGCUGACUUUGGACCUGAAUUUUUCAACCCUCAGAUCAUCAAAUCCGACUCUAUUUAUAGGCUGUGGAAGAGGGCAAUCUUGUCUACGUUGGGGAAAAAUUUCAGCCCUUGAUUCAGUUGGGAAGCAUCUCAACCGUUGGCUCAAAGUGUGCACCUCGAGCUGCCAAAUUUGGCAGCUCCAGGCUGUGAACUGCCCGAGGUGGCCACUUUGAGCCACUCACCGGAGCCGUUUAACUUUUUCGACCCGACCUGACCAUUCUCCGGGAUAAAGGGGUUUCAUGUGGACAUGUUGGUGUAUGUUGUGUCGGAUUUGGAGGCCACACGAGCCGGAAAAUGCGCCUGGAAAGCAGCCACUCAGGCAGCUUUUUGAGGAAGAAGUGAACAGUAACAGGCGACGUGUCACCUGGUUUCCCUGUGCCAUUUUUUAAAUUAGUCCUCCAGUUUUCAAUUUCUUCAAUUUGACCCCGAUCAAUCCAAUACAGCCCCCCUAUUUACGCGCCUUUUCCAAAUUGGUCCCUGGUUUCGGAUUUUCUCAAUUAAGUCCCUAAUUGCCAUUAAACUUCAAUAUUUAUGCAAUUAAGCCCCUGAUUUGACCUAAUAAAUUCCUAAAAAAUAAUUUUGGCCCCAGAACUUAAAUUUCUUUAAUUAAAGCCCAAAUUGACUUAAAAAUCAAAUUUCUUGCAAUCAAAUCCCCUAUAAAAUCAAUUAAAAAUCCAAUUAAGUCCAUAAACAUCCAAAUUUGGGCUUUUCUCCUCAAAAAUUAAAAUUUCUUAUCCAUAAGGGCUCUUAUCAUUCAAGAAUAUAUUGUCAAAAAUCCAUCUUUGUAUUUUUAACCUCCUUGACUAAUUUUUCUGACCAUUUGUUGAACGCUUCUGCCUCAUGUUAUUUUUCUAACCUCCUUUGGCUAUUUAUUUUAUUUCAUUUAUUUGGGGACCCAAAAAUGGGUUAGAACAGAUGCCCCCUCUUUAUAAUGCUUACGGAGCAAGGGUUUUGCGCAGUAAGUUUUAUAAAGAUAAACUCAAAACAGAACUCCUGAAAUUAAUCUGGUUGAAGCUUGAUUGAUCUAGAACUUGUCUUUUACAACAAUCCUCCUCAGCGCCAAAAACUAUGAUCAAAAUUUAGUCAUCUUGUGCUCCCUUCUGGAGAUCUCUUUAAACCACAACCAAAAUCCUUUCCAAUUAGGUUAAACUGAGAUCCCUUCGUUGAUCCCCUUUAACCAUAACCAAGGUCUGUGUGGUGAGACUGAAUUGAGAUUCUUUCGUCGAUCCCCUUCAACCAGAACCAAAAUCCUUUCCAAUUAGGUUAAACUGAGAUCCCUUCGUCAAUCCCCUUUAACCAUAACCAAGGAAUUUGUAGGGUUGGGCUAGACUGAGAUUCCUUUCGGCAAUCCCCUCUAACCAGAACCAAAAUCCUUUCCAAUUAGGUUAAACUGAGAUCCCUUCGCCGAUCCCCUUUAACCAUAACCAAGGAAUGUGUAGGGUUGGGUUAGACUAAGAUUCCUUUCGGCAAUCCCCUCUAACUAGAACCAAAAUCCUUUCCAAUUAGGUUAAACUGAGAUCCCUUCGCCGAUCCCCUUUAACCAUAACCAAGGAAUGUGUAGGGUUGGGUUAGACUGAGAUUCCUUUCGGCAAUCCCCUCUAACCAGAACCAAAAUCCUUUCCAAUUAGGUUAAACUGAGAUCCCUUCGCCGAUCACCUUUAAUCAUAACCAAGGAAUGUGUAUGGUUGGGCUGAACUGAGAUCCUUUCGUCGAUCCCCUUCAACCAGAACCAAAAUCCUUUGCAAUUAGGUUAAACUGAGAUCCCUUCGUCGAUCCCCUUUAACCAUAACCAAGGAAUGUGUAGGGUUGGGCUAGACUAAGAUUCCUUUCGGCAAUCCCCUCUAACCAGAACCAAAAUCCUUUCCAAUUAGGUUAAACUGAGAUCCCUUCGCCGAUCCCCUUUAACCAUAACCAAGGUGUGUGUGGUUGGGCUGAACUGAGAUCCUUUCGUCGAUCCCCUUCAACCAGAACCAAAAUCCUUUCCAAUUAGGUUAAACUGAGAUCCCUUCGCCGAUCCCCUUUAACCAUAACCAAGGUGUGUGUGGUUGGGCUGAACUGAGAUCCUUUCGUCGAUCCCCUUCAACCAGAACCAAAAUCCUUUCCAAUUAGGUUAAACUGAGAUCCCUUCGUCGAUCCCCUUUAACCAUAACCAAGGAAUGUGUAGGGUUGGGCUAGACUGAGAUUCCUUUCGGCAAUCCCCUCUAACCAAAACCAAAAUCCUUUCCAAUUAGGUUAAACUGAGAUCCCUUCGUCAAUCCCCUUUAACCAUAACCAAGGAAUGUGUAGGGUUGGGUUAGACUAAGAUUCCUUUCGGCAAUCCCCUCUAACCAGAACCAAAAUCCUUUCCAAUUAGGUUAAACUGAGAUCCCUUCGCCGAUCCCCUUUAACCAUAACCAAGGAAUGUGUAGGGUUGGGUUAGACUGAGAUUCCUUUCGGCAAUCCCCUAUAACCAGAACCAAAAUCCUUUCCAAUUAGGUUAAACUGAGAUCCCUUCGCCGAUCCCCUUUAACCAUAACCAAGGUGUGUGUGGUUGGGCUGAACUGAGAUCCUUUCGUCGAUCCCCUUCAACCAGAACCAAAAUCCUUUCCAAUUAGGUUAAACUGAGAUCCCUUCGUCGAUCCCCUUUAACCAUAACCAAGGAAUGUGUAGGGUUGGGCUAGACUGAGAUUCCUUUCGGCAAUCCCCUUUAACGAGAACCAAAAUCCUUUCCAAUUAGGUUAAACUGAGAUCCCUUCGCCGAUCCCCUUUAACCAUAACCAAGGUGUGUGUGGUUGGGCUAAACUGAGAUCCCUUUGCCGAUCCCCUUCAACCAGAACCAAAAUCCUUUCCAAUUAGGUUAAACUGAGACCCCUUCGUCCGAUUCCCUUUAACCAUCCAACCAAGGAAUGAGUAGGGUUGGGUUGACUGAGAUUCCUUUCGCAAUCCCCUCUAACCAGAACCAAAAUCCUUUCCAAUUAGGUUAAACUGAGAUCCCUUCGCCGAUCCCUUUAACCAUAACCAGGGAAUGUGUAGGUUGGGCUGAACUGAGAUCCUUUCGUCGAUCCCCUUCAACCAGAACCAAAAAUCCUUUCCAAUUAGGUUAAACUGAGAUCCCUUCGUCGAUCCCCUUAACCAUAACCAAGGAAUGUGUAGGGUUGGGCUAGACUGAGAUUCCUUUCGGCAAUCCCCUAACCAAAACCAAAAUCCUUUCCAAUUAGGUAAACUGAGAUCCCUUCGCGAUCCCCUUUAACCAUAACCAAGGUGUGUGGUUGGGCUGAACUGAGAUCCCUUCGCCGAUCCCCUUCAACCAGAACCAAAAUCCUUUCCAAUUAGGUUAAACUGAGAUCCCUUCGUCGAUCCCCUUUAACCAUAACCAAGGUGUGUGUGGUUGGGCUGAACUGAGAUCCCUUCGCCGAUCCCCUUCAACCAGAACCAAAAUCCUUUCCAAUUAGGUUAAACUGAGAUCCCUUCGCCGAUCCCCUUUAACCAUAACCAAGGUGUGUGUGGUUGGGCUGAACUGAGAUCCCUUUGCCGAUCCCCUUCAACCAGAACCAAAAUCCUUUCCAAUUAGGUUAAACUGAGAUCCCUUCGUCGAUCCCCUUUAACCAUAACCAAGGAAUGUGUAGGGUUGGGUUAGACUGAGAUUCCUUUCGGCAAUCCCCUCUAACCAGAACCAAAAUCCUUUCCAAUUAGGUUAAACUGAGAUCCCUUCGCCGAUCCCCUUUAACCAUAACCAGGGAAUGUGUAUGGUUGGGCUGAACUGAGAUCCUUUCGUCGAUCCCCUUCAACCAGAACCAAAAUCCUUUCCAAUUAGGUUAAACUGAGAUCCCUUCGUCGAUCCCCUUUAACCAUAACCAAGGAAUGUGUAGGGUUGGGCUAGACUGAGAUUCCUUUCGGCAAUCCCCUCUAACCAAAACCAAAAUCCUUUCCAAUUAGGUUAAACUGAGAUCCCUUCGCCGAUCCCCUUUAACCAUAACCAAGGUGUGUGUGGUUGGGCUGAACUGAGAUCCCUUCGCCGAUCCCCUUCAACUAGAACCAAAAUCCUUUCCAAUUAGGUUAAACUUAGAUCCCUUCGUCGAUCCCCUUUAACCAUAACCAAGGUGUGUGUGGUUGGGCUGAACUGAGAUCCCUUCGCCGAUCCCCUUCAACCAGAACCAAAAUCCUUUCCAAUUAGGUUAAACUGAGAUCCCUUCGCCGAUCCCCUUUAACCAUAACCAAGGUGUGUGUGGUUGGGCUGAACUGAGAUCCCUUUGCCGAUCCCUCAACCAGAACCAAAAUCCUUUCCAAUUAGGUUAAACUGAGAUCCCUUCGUCGAUCCCCUUUAACCAUAACCAAGGAAUGUGUAGGGUUGGGUUAGACUGAGAUUCCUUUCGGCAAUCCCUCUAACCAGAACCAAAAUCCUUUCCAAUUAGGUUAAACUGAGAUCCCUUCGCCGAUCCCCUUUAACCAUAACCAGGGAAUGUGUAGGUUGGGCUGAACUGAGAUCCUUUCGUCGAUCCCCUUCAACCAGAACAAAAUCCUUUCCAAAUUAGGUAAAUUAGAUCCCUUCGUCGAUCCCUUUAACCAUAACCAAGGAAUGUGUAGGGUUGGGCUAGACUGAGAUUCCUUUCGGCAAUCCCCUCUAACCAAAACCAAAAUCCUUUCCAAUUAGGUUAAACUGAGAUCCCUUCGCCGAUCCCCUUUAACCAUAACCAAGGUGUGUGUGGUUGGGCUGAACUGAGAUCCCUUCGCCGAUCCCCUUCAACCAGAACCAAAAUCCUUUCCAAUUAGGUUAAACUGAGAUCCCUUCGUCGAUCCCCUUUAACCAUAACCAAGUGUGUGUGGUUGGGCUGAACUGAGAUCCCUUCGCCGAUCCCCUUCAACCAGAACCAAAAUCCUUUCUAAUUAGGUUAAACUGAGAUCCCUUCGCCGAUCCCCUUUAACCAUAACCAAGGUGUGUGUGGUUGGGCUGAACUGAGAUCCCUUCGCCGAUCCCCUUCAACCAGAACCAAAAUCCUUUCCAAUUAGGUUAAACUGAGAUCCCUUCGCCGAUCCCCUUUAACCAUAACCAAGGUGUGUGUGGUUGGGCUGAACUGAGAUCCCUUUGCCGAUCCCCUUCAACCAGAACCAAAAUCCUUUCCAAUUAGGUUAAACCUGAGAUCCCUUCGUCGAUCCCCUUUAACCAUAACCAAGGAAUGUGUAGGGUUGGGUUAGACUGAGAUUCCUUUCGGCAAUCCCCUCUAACCAGAACCAAAAUCCUUUCCAAUUAGGUUAAACUGAGAUCCCUUCGCCGAUCCCCUUUAACCAUAACCAGGGAAUGUGUAUGGUUGGGCUGAACUGAGAUCCUUUCGUCGAUCCCCUUCAACCAGAACCAAAAUCCUUUCCAAUUAGGUUAAACUGAGAUGCCUUCGUCGAUCCCCUUUAACUAUAACCAAAACGAAAAUGCAUGAGUGGUCUCAUUAUGAUGGGUGACCUACCCGAAUGGAAAAGAAAAAGGAGUGGUCUCAUUCUUAUGGGUGACCUACCCAGGGGGAAGAAUUCUUAGUAAACUCCAUGCUUUUUUAAGAAAUGGUUUCAAUAUGAGGUCCCUUCUGGCGACCUUCCUUGAUGAAUGUCGAAGUACGAGAUCCCUUCUGGUGAUCUCAAAUAACUUGGAAUCCCAUCGGGCGAUUCCUUUUACCAAAGCUGAAAUAUGAGGUCCCUUCUGGCGACCUUCAUCGAAAUACGAGAUCCCUUCUGGCGAUCUCACCAAACAACUUGGAAUCCCAUCUGGCGAUUCCUUUUAUACAAAACUGAAAUUUGAGGUCCCUUCUGGCGACCUCCAUCGAAAUACGAAAUACGAGAUCCCUUCUGGCGAUCUCAACAACUUGGAAUCCAUUGGCGAUUCCUUUUUACCGAAUGCUAUCGAUGUCGUUCUUCCUGCUGGCAGGGUUUGAAAACCAUUAUCUUCUCUUCUUGUUGUUCUAGAAUCAACUCAAUGAUUCUUUCUUCGUCCAUAAUCUUGUUGGAAUGCGCUAAGAUCUCCUCCUGUAACGAUCCAAAAAACAUAUAUGCAAUGAUUUAUGAUUAGAUGCAAUGCAUGCAUUCGUACCUGGUUUUGAAACAUAGGCCCCAUCCUCUUCUAGUUCAUGAGACUCCCUCUUAACAUGAACUUGCUUUUGAAGUCGUAUGCUGGAUUCAUCUCUCGUGUUGCCUAUCAUAUUCUUGGAGAAAAGUCUUUGACUUUCUUCAAGUAGUCCUUUUCUCAAAAUGUAUGACUUGUAUUUGCCUCUUUGUCAUGCUUUUGUCAAAUGCUUUAGCUUGGUUUUCAAAUCUAUAGGCUUCAUCCAAUUUUAAACACGUAAAACUUUUCAUAAAACAUCUCGUCUUGCCCCCAGUGUAGGGGUGCGAUAUUAGUCUGGGUUUUAUAUAGAGAAGAAUUCAUUCAGCCAGUGAUAAACUUUUUUAGUGAGUGAAGAUAAUGAUUUUUUUUUUUUCAAAAUGCACAUUGUUAUAUAAACUCUAUUCUUUAAAAGACAAUUACAGAUGAUUAUAAGACCACUUAAUCAUUUAUCAUUAUCAUCAAGGUUGUAUUUAGGGUUAGCUUUUCUUAAAUUUCAUAUUAAACCAUUUUAUGAUACUUUAUUUGUAACCACUCAAACUUGUUCAAAAAAUGCAUAAACUCAUCAUUUAUUUAAAGAAAAGGUAAGCUCAAACACAAAAAUGGCUGACAUCAUGAGCCUGAUUGCCCACUAGAGAAAAAAAAGCAAAGACAAAAGCAAAUGACAAAAACAUGCUAAGGCAAAUAAAGUUGUUUUACAUUUUGAAAACUACGAGAAGUUCUUGGGUCAACCCGUUCUGAAACUUCUUCUAGUGUGUGGAAAGUCAACCGAGGCAAUGCUUCAUCUUCCUUCCCCACUUGCGUUUCCUUGUCUUCUCCUUCGAUCUCGCCUUCUUCAUUAUUGACGAUUCUUGACCAAGGUUUUCCAACCUUUAUCCCCUAUCACUUUUGUCAUGACCAGGCAAUGGAUUUGAAUGAUAUUGGGUGUGUCUUCAAAUGACACCCAUCCUAUCUUGAUGAGCUUCAACAACUUGUUCUUGAAAGUAGCACGUUUCAAGACAAUGCCCGGGAAUACCAGCAUGGUACUCGCAAGUCAACUCGGGCUUAUACCAGAUGGGGAAUGGUGGCUGUAGUGGUAAUGUAGGGAUAGGAGCUAUUUGUCCAAUGCUCAGUAGUUUGGCAUAUAUGUCCUUCAGAGGCAUGGGUAAUGGCGGUAGUUGUUCUGAAAUGUAUCUUGUGUUUGGUCUUUGGUGGUUGUUUUGGGUGUUUGACUGAUUUGCUCGAUUAGGGGAAAAAGGUUUGUUAAAGUUUAUGUGGGCCACAUGAGAGGUAGGUAUUUGUGGGUUAUAUGAAUCUGUUAUCUUGUCAUUGGACCCACCUUCGAAGUUGUUAACGGGACCUUUCAUUUUUCUUCCGAAAAAACCCUUUGUCUCCAAUGGCUCAAUUAUGCGUCCAGCUUUAAUCCCUUGCUCUAUUCUUUCCGCUAUGCGUACAACAUCAUAGAAAUGUUGAGAUGAGCUACCCAUUAAAUGCUCAUAGUAGGGUGCCUUGAAUGUAUUGGCGAACAAAGUCACCAUCUCCGUUUCUAUCAAAGGGGGUUGCACAUGCAUGGCCUCGUCCCUCCAUCUUUGCGCAUAAGCCCUUACUGAUUCUUGGCUUCUCUUUUCCAUUGACAUAAGGCUUGUUCGAUCUGGAGCAAUUUCCAAAUUGAACUUGUAUUGCUUAAGGAAAGCCUCAACUAAAUCCUUCCAUUUCUUGAUCUUGGCAUUAUCCAGCCUCAUGUACCAACUUAGCGCCGACCCCGAUAGACUGUCUUGGAAAAAGUAGAUCAGUAACUUAUCGUCAUGAAUCACCUCAGCCAUCUUAUUGCAAUAAGAUCGAAGGUGAGUGUUUGGGCAUUCCAACCCAGUGUACUUUAUAAACUCCGGUAUCCUAAAUUUUUGGUACCGUGAUGUUUGGUACCAAGCAUAUUUCAGACGCUCGCAUGGGGUCAAACCAGUCAUUUCCCUCGACUGCUCUUAACCUUUCUUCCAAGGCUGAUAUCUUGUCAUCGUUCAUAAAACCAGUGGACCUAUUAUCGGAAGGCCCCUCUACAGUGAUGUGAGCUUGAGGGGGCUGAAUGGGAAUGGCAGUGCAAAGUGCUGCCCCGUCACUGAAUCUGCCCCCAAGUUCUGAGAUACCCCCGGGACAUGAACUGACGGUGCUCCUAUAGGUGGUUGGGUAGAUGUUCCCUCCCCGUUCUUGGCUCUUAAAAGUUGCUCAAGCAGAUUGGUCAGUCGAGAAACUUCAUUUUACGGAUUCCAAUUCACUGGUAGUGCGACUCUAGGAUGCUCUCUUCUUCUCCAUUCUUGAUCUGGACCGGGUUUGGUGGACUCUGGAUGUGGGACCUAUGUUUCACGAUCUGUAAUGCAUAUGAUAACAAAAUGCGUGAUGAAAAUGUGAUGCACAAGUGAUGAUGUAUAACAUUGCAAAAAGAUACAUAACCUAAGGACAAGCUCUAUUUAUUAAGUGAGAGUGGGUAGUUUUUUCUAUCUGUCUUGAAGGUCUCAUAUCUGCCCAGUGACGUUCUUCGUAAAGACAGUAUGGGGGCGUUGCAAGGAACAGUUAAGACACGUAUGCCCACCAUUACCAAACAGGCACUCAGAUAUGAGUUGGGUGUUUCACGCAUUUAAACCCUGACCAAUAGUCUUAGGGUAAAUCGCUAAUUCCCCACUUAACUUAAAGCUUGUGUGUGCUUCUCAAAAUAAAAGCAAGUGAUGCAUGAGAUAAUUUUAUACAAUGCAUAAAUAAUACGCGUAAAAUAAAAAACAAACAUGCAAAUAAACGGAAAGGCAUAUUAACAAUAAACACACGAAAACACAAACAAAUCAGACAAAAACAAAGCUUAGUCUACAAGGUCCCCAGCGGAGUCGCGGCGAAAAUAACAUAGUUUUUCCAUUUUCUUAAAUCUACAAUGUAAAUAUAUCUAUGUCUAUGGGGAUACAAGAAAAUAUUGUCUUUUAUUGGUAGAAAAUGGAAUGGGAGUCGCCACCUAGUAUUUUGGUCACUAGGAACCCUAACUGGUCUUAGAGAUCGGGUACGGGGACUGAUUGCGUAAAGGGAAGGUAUUAGCACCCCAAAUACGCCCUACCUAAGGUAAGCUGCAUUGUUUUAUUGUCUGAUAAAAUCUAAGAUAUUUUCAUGUUUUCCUAGUUGUUGGUCUGUCUAUGGUUCAAGAAAAAUCCUCCUCGGUAAGAAGGUCUUUAUCUUAUCGUGUAUAAUCCUAACCGUUCUAACGUCUUUACCAAAACUUUAUUAAUAAUAUUUAGGAAUAUGUUUUACGUAUAAAUUCGUAAUCCCAAAUACUAAAAAGAAAACAAAAAGAUUUUUUAGAAUUUUUUGAAAUAUUGGCCUAGUUCUCAUGGCUUGAAUAAACUAGUUAUUAAAGCCAAAAUGCAUGCUAAUACAUAUAUUGUUUUGAAAAUUUUCUUUGUUGUGUGAAAAUAUGAUGUUAUAAUAUUUAUAUAUAUAUAUAUUGGAGAGACUAGGCCGUAUGCAAGAAAACAAAACAUUUUUUUGGAAAAUAUUUGUUUUUUGAUGUUUUAACAAAAAUCAGGUAUUUUAAUACUGGGUUUGUAUUCUUACGGUAUAAAAAUACAAACCAAUAUUAAUCCCUUUUGACAAAAAUAUGCAGGAAAAUCAACAAUAUUUUCAAAGAUUUUUUCAGAAUAUAUUUUUUAAAGAAAAAAAUAUACAUAUAUAUAUAUAUACAUAUAUAAUAUAAUAUAUUAUAAUAUAUAAUAUAAUAAUACACACACACACAUAUAUAUGUAAUUCACGUCCUGCAUGAAUAGUAGGACGUGAAUUAUAUUUCACUCCUACUGUUCAUGCAGUGAACAGUAGGUAAGGAGGAAGAAGAAGAAGAAAAGGAGGAAAGGAAGAGGAAGGAGGAGGAAAGGAAGAGGGGCUCACUUGGCCGAAGGGGUUGUGGCUGCUGUGAUGAGGUGGUUCAGCCGGUGGUUGCAGCGGUGGAGUUGGAGGAAGACGGCGUCGGUUUCCUGUUGCAGAGGAAGAAAGAAGAAGAAGAAAAAUCUGCGGAAAUUGGGUGAAAAUGCUGGUUUUUGGCUGACUUUGGACCCAAAUUUUUCAACCCUCAGAUCAUCAAAUCCGACUCUAUUUAUAGGCUGUGGUAGAGGGAAAUCUUGUCUAUGUUGGGUAAAAAUUUCAGCCCUUGAUUCAGUUGGGAAGCAUCUCAACCGUUGGCUCAAAGUGUGCACCUCAAGCUGCCAAAUUUGGCAGCUCCAGGCUGUGAACUGCCCGAGGUGGCCACUUUGAGCCACUCAACAGAGCCGCUUCUAACUUUUUCGACCCGACCGGACCAUUCUCCGGGAUAAAGGGGUUUCAUGUGGACAUUUCUGUGCACGUUUUGUCGGAUUUGGAGGCCACACGAGCCGGAAAAUGCGUCUGGAAAGCAGCCACUCAGGCAGCUUUUUGAGGAAGAACGUGAACAGUAACAGGCGACGUGUCACCUGGUUUCCCUGCGCCGUUUUUAAAUUAGUCCUCCAGUUUUCAAUUUCUUCAAUUUGACCUCGGAUCAAUCCAAUACAGCCCCCCUAUUUACGCGCCUUUUCCAAAUUGGUCCCUAGAUUCGGAUUUUCUCAAUUAAGCCUCUAAUUGGCCAUUAAACUUCAAUAUUUAUGCAAUUAAGCCCCUGAUUUUACCUAAUAAAAUUCUAAAAAAUAUAUUUUGGCCCUAGAACUUAAAUUUCUUUCAAUUAAAGCCCAAAUUGACUUAAAAAUCAAUUUUUCUUGCAAUCAAAUCCCCUAUAAAAUCAAUUAAAAAUCCAAUUAAGUCCAUAAACAUCCAAAUUUGGGCUUUUCUCCUCAAAAAUUAAAAUUUCUUAUCCAUAAGGGCUCUUAUCAUUCAAGAAUAUAUUGUCAAAAAUCCAUCUUUGUAUUUUUAACCUCCUUGACUAAUUUUUCUGACCAUUUCUAACCUCCUUUGGCUAUUUAUUUUAUUUCAUUUAUUUGGGGACCCAAAAAUGGGUUACAACAAAUAUAUAUUAGAAUAUUUCAUGGACUGAACUGCUCUAUGAUUGUGCAUUUAUAGCCCAAUUAUUAUUAUUUUUUUCUUUUUCCUGUUAAUUGCAUUUUGGAAUUCAUUUGAUUUGACAUAAUUUGAACUGGAAGAAUGAAUUGGGUUGGCCUUCAUUUGUUCUGUUUUAAUGUGACUGAGAGCCUUAUUUUUUUAAAUGUAUUGUCACUCAUUUAGAUACUGACUAAGUAGAGUUUGCACUCAGAUUAACAUACAGUAUUCAUUCAUUCCAUUAAGCCUUAAUGGAGUAGUGAAUGAAUAAAAUGACUUUUAUUAUAUGUUCCUUGCCUGUGGUCCUCUACUACGUGGACGCUGAACUGGAGCAUUGGAGGUUCCCCCAUUGCUCCAUUGUUGGUAUAUUUGAGCAACUAUGAAACAUGAAGCUGGCCAAUAGGUGUCUAUAAGUAGUACAUAGAUUUUACAAUAGAAACAUGGUGCAAUCAGUGUUCUAUAUGCACGAUCAAAUUUGGGGCUUCACUGUACUACCUCAGAUACUGUCAAAAUAUGCUUCUUGGAAUUCGGAAGCUUAGAUCAUCGGUUAACAUGUCUGGUGUUGGUGCUUCAUGAAAUGAUGUUACCUUUUCUCUUUCUGAACGUUAUUUCCAGGUUGGAAAUUCAAGUAAUUAGUUCAAAUCGAUCCUAGAAGAUUGUUGUUACUCAAAUUUUGACCCACCUUUUUGAUAAAAUUUUUGAAAAAUCCAAAAAUAGUGAAAAACAACAAAAAUCCAAAAAAUAUGUUUUUAAUAUAUUUUGCAUCGUUUUUAGCAUUUUCAACGUCGUCUAAAAAAAACACAAAGAAUUUUAAUUUUCAAAGGUUUUUCGAACGCGUUCGACUUUUCACGCGUCAUUUUUAAAAUCAUUAAUUUUUCUCAUAGAAUUGACGUUGAUUUUGCUCGUUUUUAAAAAUACAAGAAAAAAAAAACAAGACAAAUCAAAAUUUACAAAAAAAGAAAGUUGAGGGACCAAUUUUGAUACCCGGACAACAUUUUACCUAUAAAUAUAGGUUGAAAACUCAAAAAAAGAAGAGGGGGGGUCAUUUGGUAAUUUUGAGGAGAGAGAACACAAACCAGAAACCCUAAGAGCCUAAUUGUUUCUCCCCUCACAAAAAGAAGCCGCCGGCCACCCCCCACUUCUUCUUCCUUAUUAGCCAAACAGCCUGCACCUCACGGAGGAUUUUUUUUUGACAGACUCCACCAAAGGUUCUGCUCCCUCACCAGCACAACCCUGGACCUGGCAUCUCCCUCAGCCUAAACAGACCCGCCGUCCCCUGUUCCCUUGAUUUUUUUUCUUCUCUCGCCCAAACCAGCCACCGCAGCUCUCCUCUUCCUUCUUUCUCCUACAACCCGAUCUUCCCACGUUUCCUCACAGGACGACCCUCCAUUUUGAUUUUUCUUCUUCUCCACCUGACCAAGCCGAAAGAGGAGCGGCCCGCCCUAGAUUGAUUUUCUUCUCCUUUCUCGGCCGACAACCAAGCCCCCCCUGGUUUUGAUUUUUGGCCGGCUGCGAGAGAAGCCUUCGGCUCUCGGACCCAUAGCCUCCCAGACCCGCACGGCCAGCCUCAUCCCCACCGUCCCGCUCCUCUCUCAGUCGACAACACAGGCGCCUCCACCACCGGCCACCCGAACCAGCGUCACUGACCGUUCCCCAGCUCUGUCCGACCUCUCUCUCAGCCAUCGUGGACAGACCACCUUCUCACUCUCCUCUCAGUCGGUCGUCGCCGAAGAAGCAACACACACAGACCGGCCUUUCUCCCCCAAGCCCCGACCGAGCGCCUUCCUCCUCCACAAACGUCGUCCCAUAUAAGUCGGGCCUCUGCCAGCAGAAGAAAAGAUGAAGAAAAGGAGGGCAGAUCUGCAGAUCUAAAAGAGGAGGCAGAGGAGCAAAAAUCUGAGAAAAUUAAGAAAGAAAUUGAAACCGAUUGUGUUGUGUGUAUUUCUAGUGUUGCAGGUGAAGGCGUUCCCCACUGCCGGCGUGGGAAGGCAGAGGGGAAGAAGACACUAGUCCCCUGGUUUUUUUUUGUUUUGUUUUUAGCGGCGGCGCGUGAGCCCACGCGCCGCCAGUGGUGGUGUCGCGUUGGGCGACGCGCCGCCACUGUUCCUGCGGGUGGCAGAAGGGCAAUGCUGCAAUUUCUGGAGUUUAGGGACUAUUUUAUAAAUUAUGUAAUGUAAUUUUUAUUUAGUUUAAUUUGUUGUUAUAAUUUGUAAUGUGAUGUAUAAAAAGAACAAAAAACAAUAAUGUAAAAGAAAAGAAAAGAAAAGAAAAGAAAGAGAAAAUGAUAAUAAAAAAGAAAAGAAAAGAAAUGUUUGUGUGUGCUUGUAUGUUUUUUUUAUGUAUGUUAUUGAAUAAAAAAAAAGGAAUUUAAUUUAUAUGCACAAAUAUCUAAAGGACAGAUAAAAAUCAUGUUGAAUUUUCCAUGGAAAUGUAGAACAUGUAUCUACAUAUAGUCUUGAAAAGUAAUAACUGAUUUAUCAAAGCCUUAGAAUUGAGCUAAAAUUUUAUUUUUAAUAUCACAUCAAGUCCACAAAGCUUGAAAGUGAAUGUGGCGUGUAUUUCUGUUUAUGAAUGUUUUUUUAUUAUGAUAAAAUUGCAAGAAUAAAGAAGAAUUUAAUAUUCUGAUUUGAUCACGGAUAAAGAAUUAUGAACUUACAUGUAAGUUGUAUUUUUUAAAAUUCGAUGAAAGAACAUAAUUUUUAAAACUUCUUUAACACAUCAAGUCCACAAAGCAGCUUACCUCAGGUAGGGUGCGUUAGGGGUGCUAAUACCUUCCCUAACCACAACCAGUCCCUUACCCGCGAUCUCUGACAAGACCAGUACAUCAAGUUUCUUAGUAGCCCUCAAUGAAUUACUAGGUGGCGACUCUAAAGAACCAAAUCAGCAAAAAAGAACGAAUAAUCGCCAGCCGAUGCCGUGCGUGGAUUUUUUCGACGUGCUACAAAGAUGAAUGGUGGCUUAGAAUGCUGUGAAAAAAUCAUUCCCUUGUUCAUUUUUCAAAUUAGAAAAGACAACUUUUUGCUUGAACUUUUAGAAUAUAAAAAAUCAUACUUUCAUAGCUAGACACUUUCCAUCUAUGAUCUUUAAAUCUGAAGACAUAACAUCUGGUUUAAUGAAAGUGCUAUUAACAUGCCAAACUUUAUUAGAUUGUUGUUGUGCACUUGGGAAGAAAUAAAAUACUUGUCCUCUAUUGUUUUCAAUAGCAUAAUCAGCUUCAUAGUUUUCUACGUUGUCUUUUUACUAGUAGUACCUUUGUGAAUGUCUGGGAUUUCUGUCUUUUGCAUCUAUACCAGCACUCUUUUACUUAGUGUCCACCUCAUUUUCAAGUUCAUAAGUAGGAGGAAAGAAUGUAAAAAUAUAGCCAUUUGUUUUCUGGUUUUUUGCUGGGACUUUUAUUUAAAAUUUGACACAAGUGUUUUAUAUAUAAACAUCUCGAUUUAAUUUUUUGUUUCCUAAUCGACGAGGAAUUCCACUCACAAGUAAUAUCUGUACAUUUUUUCUCAUGUUUGGUUAAGGCUAGGAAAGUGAAACAAAAAUCAUGUUAUGCAGUAUAAAAAGGUAAUGGAAGUGACUGGUUUCACCAUCACCGGUAAAGUGUCUGUAAUGACUGGCAUGGCCUAUGGGCUACAUUAUGCUUAGAUCCGUUAAAAUCAUGUAUGUAAUGACUGGCUAUGAAUGAAGUUUUUGUAAUUUAAAAAAAAAAAAAAAAAUUCUGUGAUGUCCAAAGUACACUUAUUAUGGGCAUGAGGAAGUGUUAAUUUACAUAGUUAACAUCUGGCCUUCCGCAUGUUUUUGCUUAUUUAUUGAAGUCACAAAGUUCUUUGUUCAUCUAUGGUGACACCUGUGUAGUUUAAAGUGGGGAAAUAUCAGAGUACAGUUAUUAUAGCAUAAUUUUGAGAUACUGUUUUAGGGAUUGAGAUUUUUAUUGGCUGAGAGCUCCAUAAGGUACUUGGAUGGUCAGCCAACAUCUGGCCUCUCCUGUUUUUCAAACUUCAAUGGUAAUGACCAUAGUUCAUUUUUCAAGGCUUUGAUUAUAUAAAUUUUUCCAGGUAGUCUUAUAUAGGACCUACUAUCUACUAUCAGACCACAUGUCAACUUGACUCUGUUUGUUCUUGCUGGUAUUAUUAUUUUGCCUGUUAAUUGCAUUUGUUUUUCUAUGCAAGAUGUUUUUCAAGCAAUUGCUAUCUAUUUGUAUGUCUGCGAUAUGCUAAGUUUGAGAAUUCCUUUCUUUUCUCCAUUCAGAGCGGUUGUGUGCAAAGGAUGAAUAGAUGUGAACCUGCUAUUGAUCAAUGGUAGAGAUUUGGUUCUGAAGGUGGCUUGAUCAAGUUAUCUUUGGAGUUGGCAUUUUCACACAGGCAGAAGAAAUUUUUCUUGUAUUCCCAACCCUGAUACAAUAUUGUUGGUCUAGUCUUUGGCAUUACCGCCACUGAGGAGCGAACCUCCUAUUGAAUCUGGAUUAGUUACAGAAUUUUAAAGACUUUUUAAUCCUCCUGAGAUUCUAAGCACCGAUUUACUCUCCCUAGGAACGCAAGUUAGGAUAAAUGAGUCAGUUAGAUGCUCCACUGGUAUAUCCAUUUUUCAUUUUGCAUAGCUAGUGUAUUCUUGUAGCAAAAUAUUUUAUCCGUUGCAAUUAUAUUGUGAUUUUUCCAUUUUGAACUCGAGAAAUUUUAGUGUAGUAUCUGGAAGACCACAGAGUUACGUGCUUCGGCAGAAACAGUUGUAUACCUGAAUGAAAUCUCUUGUCAAUAAUAAGGUUUGAUUACUCUUUGGAACUCAUUUACAGUACAUGGUUCUCUAGUCACAUGCAAAAGUUGCAGGUUGUUCAAAAAUGGUGGUUAUUUUGGUUUUGGUGAUUUAAGCACUUAUUACUGCAAUAUCAGCAAUGAGGAAAAGCAACUACUGAAAAUUGCUCUUAAUGGUGAAAGCAUUAUACAUCAGGUGUUAUUUGCAGCAGUUCGCAUCUGCUUGCAUAACUGUUAUUGGCAUCCAGCUUGGUGAUGUUGGAUUCUGUUGCAGCAAAACAGUUCUUGUGCUGGGAUUCUGAUGAAUCGCGGUGUGAUUUUUGUACUUAAUGUCAGAAGGUAAUGAACAAUUUCUACUUUCAUCCAUAUUGAUAUAUUCGUCUUAUUUCAGGGAGCAAUGAACAUAAGUGGAUAAUGAGAUUUGGGAUUCAUGCUUGGAAAUGUUCUCACGUUUUGGGUUCGAAAGAUUGAAACAAUUUCUACUUUCUCUUGUUUCAUUGAAGUGAUAAACUAACUGCAACAUUAAAGGUAGGUGUGUUUGAGAAUGUGAUAAUGAUUGUGUUUUAAAUUGUUUUUUAUUUAAAAAUAUAUUAAAAUAAUAUAUAUUUUUAAAAAAUAUUUUUGAUAUCAACACAUCAAAACGAUCUGAAAAAUAUAAAAAUAUAAUUUUAAGUAAUUUUUUUCUUUCAAGUUUUGGUGGAAUGUGGUUUGAACCACAUUUCUAAAUGGGGCCUAAGUAUUCUUAAACUUUAUUUUGAGUGAUUUAGUUUUAAUUAAAGAUCAAUUGAUUUUGAUUUUUUAUGAAAAAAUUUGAUUGAAAAAAGAGAGAUCUAAAUGAAAAAGGCGUCAAACAUGGUGAUAUGCUUUAAGUUUUGAAAAUGAUCUACUUUGAUCCUCAAAUUUUAAAAAACAGAAAUUAUAUAAUUUCGAUACCUUAAUAUUUUUCAAUUUAAUUUUGGUAUGAAAAUUUAUUUUUGUUAUUUUUUAGUUCUUGAUUGAGAGUGAAGAGAGAAGUCGUUAAAUUCCAACGAUAAAUAGAGAAUCAUGUCGUUGACAUUGAUUUAGGCUACUAAAAUGGAUGAUAUUUGUGUCAAAUAGUUCUUUUGAAUUGAGAGAGUUCAUAUUAGGUGUUUUUCUUAACUUGAAAGUUCGUUAAAAAACAAAUAUGAUCUCGGGUUGAUUUUUGAUUUCAGGUUCAUUAAUGUUUUUUCAAAGGGUUUUUUUUCUUUUUUUUAAGGCUAUGAAUAAGUUUAUCAUGGUUCUUAAUGUUUUUUAUAAGUGUUUUGGGAAAAAACUUAGGCCUUGAUUUUUCGACCACCACAGUGGUUAGAAUUUGGGCAAGAUCAGACGACGUGUUGUCUGUCUAAACAGGUGAUGUGUCAUCUGAUUUUUUUUUUAAAAAAAUAAGGGUGGACAACAUAUCAUUCGCUCUAAGAGUAACAAAAAAAAGGACUUAGACGAGCCCUAAUGAAAUGGGUCAUGCCCAGAAGCACUUGACCUUUUAUUUCCCUAUUGUUUUCAAUUAAUCCUUAUUUUUAUAUGUUUUUUUGUAAAAUAAAAAAUUAAUAACAUUUAGAUUAAUACCUCUUUUCUUUUUUUAUUUUGUUUAGAUGAACUAUAUUUUGGAAAAUAAAAAAUAUUUAUUUUCAAAUAAUAUUUCUAAUAUGUGUAGUAUAUAUGUGUGUGUAUUUUAUUCAAUCAAUUUAAUGUCGUUUGAAUAAAAAAACAUUGUAAUAAACAAAAUUUAGCAACAUAUAAUUAAGUAAAUGUCAUGUCUUGCAAGAUUAAAUAUCUUGAUCUACACAUGUCUCUUGAUUUUUCUAGUUUUAUUUUUAGAUAUCAUUAAUGGCUUUUUUUAUUUAUUCAUUAGCACACAUAGUUCUCAGCUUACUUGAUUACUUGUAUGCAUAAACUUUUUUAUCUACACUUUAAUAUUUUGAAUUAUAGAAAUGCGUUGAAAAAACCUGCAUAUAUAAUGUUUUUAUAAAAAAUAAAAAUAUCUGACAUGCAAAGGAGCACAAGUCAUAUAACUACUAGUAGUACUAAAUUCAAGUUAUAAAAAAUAACAUAUAGCACAAGUAAAUUGCAUAGAUAAGACAUCAAUGACACAAACCCCUCCAUUUAUAGAUAAUGGAGCGUCAAUUCUUAAGUUUAGGGAGACACAUGGUGGCCGUAUAAGUCUAUAUUGGAUUCAAGCAAUCUGAUUCAUUCUUCAUAGUUAAUGUAUCUAGUGACUUGACAUGAAAAGCCUAAAGAGUUGGUAACUAAUAGUAGGUGAUGUAUGGUAAGCAAGGUGACCAAUAGUUGGUACUUGUAAAAGGUCCUCUUUGAUGGAUGUGGGGAUUCUCCGAUAGUAAAGUUAGUAACUUUAUAGAAAGAGAAGGUGCAAUAAUAUUUUAGAGAGAGAUACUCUGAAAAUAUAUACAUAGUAGAGAAUGAAGGAUUUAUGGUGUAUUUCUAGCUCAUGAAUCUUAUCUUUUUUGUGAAGAGGAGAGACUAAAGUGUAUUUUAACAUUAUGAUAUUUUGAGUUGUAUUCUACUUAAAAUAAUAUGUAUUUGAUCAAUAUAAAAUAGCCCGAGCUCGUGUUUCUUAGGUGUUUUCUGAUUUUGUUUUUUAUUUAGAGGAUUUUUUUUGGAUCAAUUUUGGAGAAUUUUUUAGAUUUAUUUUAUUUGUAUCCAUCAUAUUCUAUUAUCAAUUUAAAAAUUCCGAAGAUAUAGAUUAAGAAUAUAUUUUGUAUAUAACUUCCUCAUUUUCCAUUCGUAACCCAAUAACACAUCUUGAAACACUAAACUAAGGUGAACCUUCAAAUAGGAAACUAAAUUUUAUUGAAAGUUUACCCCUUUCACAAUAUCUGACACUAAACAAUGAAUAGCUUCAACAAGGAGGAUUUUUUAGGAAAAUUUAUUUAUUUUUAAUGUUUUUUCUAUUUAGUGUAAGAAGUUAAAUUUUUAUUUUUCCUAGUUUAUUUAGAAUUUUUAUUACUUUUUUUUUUCUUCAAGUUUUCUAGUUUGUUUAGGUUAGUUUUUAAGUUUAUUUAAGAAGCUGUAAACUUUUUAGUGAGGAAGACUAUAUGAACAUAAAAUAUUCAGUAAUAAAAUUAUAAAUUAGAAUUUUGUGAGAUAAUUUUAUUUGGCUUCAAUCAUGUCUUUAUAGCUUAUUGUAUUUUUUUGUUUUUAUUUUUGUUUUUUGUUAGUUGAUAUUAGAGUCCAACGAUACCAAUGGUUAUUUUCUUGCUAUGUGCUUAAAUAACCAUGACUAGAAGAUGUAGUAAAAUAAGACAUGCUCGUAUAGAAAAGGAUGAAAAGGUUUUUCUUGAGAAAGAGAUGUUUAAACGAUGGUGAUAGAAAAUAUGUAAAAACAAAUUGCAAAAUUGAAAAGAGAUUUUGAUAUGAUAUAAGACAUGCAUAAAAAAUUGCAAUAUUAACCCCUUAGUUGGCGGAGGUAAGGAGCCUAGAGUAUCUUGAGAAAAGUUACCAUGGAUUUAUAGUUAAUUUUGAGAAUUUGUUUCAAAGAUGUAAGUAAAGAAAAUAACUUCUUGAUUGGGAUGAAUAUGACAUUAAAAUUAAAUGUUUUGAUAAUUCUAGUUUCUUUGUGGACUAGAAUCAAAUACUAAAAUUUGACUAGGAUGAUGAAAAUGACGGCAAAGAAAAAGAUUUAAAUGCAAGUUUUUUUAAUUGGUGAUCUCCAUGAGAAGAUAUCAAAAUUAGAUGUGGUUAUGAAGCAUACCGUGAAGGAUGUGUGUUCAAGAAAAUUUUUAGAAUUAAUGAGGUGAAAGCUGAUGCUAUUGCAAUUCAGCUCAUGCAAGACUUCCAAGUCGUUGGCAGUAUCCAAUUCCAAUAUUAUAGACUUCAUCAAAGGUAGUUUACGAAGAAAGUACCCAUGAGACAUGAUUAUAAUAAAAAGUCGUUGUCGGCAGGGGUGGAGCUAGAAUUAUUUGUUAGGGGACUAUAAUUAAUAUAAUAAAAUAUAAUAUUUAUUUUACUUUAUUGUACAUGAGUUGUAAAAAAACCUGUAUAAUUUAGUUUUAUUCAAAGAACUUACUAUAAACAUAUAAUUAUCUUUGUAUGAGGUAAAAGGUUUGAAGAAAUACCAAUUGAGUCAAAGCAACGAAGUUAAUUUUAUCUUCAUAAUAUAUUCAUCACUUUAAUGUUAGUCUUUAUAUCUAUCAAAUAUAAACAUACAAAGUAUAUAAGAAACAUUAGCUAAAACGAAGUAUUAUUUAUGUUUGAUAAACUUUGAAAUAAAGCAAAAAAUAAUAAAGAACUAUUCUCACUAAUCAAUGCGGGUUUUUUGUAAACUGAGGCGCAUUGGAGUUGCUCAAUCAUAACUUUAACAUUACACAUUGGAGUUGGUUCACUAGGCUGCGAGUUAUCAAUCACCACCAGAAAUUCGCUAAAUACCAACGGACAUACCGACGGAAUUUUUUCUGUCGGUAUUUUUCGGCCGAAAUCACCGACGGACAAUAUUCGUCGGUAAUUAGGUCGGUAAUUACUGACCGAAAAUUCAGAAUUAAUGAAAAAAGGGCGGGCAGGUGGCGCGGAGGUUUUGGCGGGUGAUUUUUCCGACGGAAUUAAAAACUGGGGCCCGUACGCGUGAUGAGACCUGUUCACCGUCAAAAAAUACCGACGGAAUCACCGACGGAUUUGAAAUGCCAGAUCCGUACCGGUGACGUGACCGGUGCACCGUUAAAAAUACCGACGGAAUCACCGAGGGAUUUGAAUAGCAGGUCUGUGCGGUGACGUGUCGAUUGCCCAUCAGAAUUAUCGACGAUUUGGCAGACGGAGUCACCGACGGAAUCCAAACCGUCGGUAAGUCCGUCGGCAAAAGUGAAUAUAUGGCUAACCCCCCCCAUCUGCAAAAUAACCAGCCCCCCCUCGCCCCAAAACAAAAAUCUUCCUCAUCUCAGCACAACAAGUUGUAUUUCUUGAAGUUUUGUGGUCACAGCAUCCGUGUUCUGAUUUAUCGAUGGAUUUUAUUAUUUUUUGUAAGUAAUUCUAUCUUUUAAAAUUUUAACAUUUAAAUGUCAAUUUUAUUGUUUUUUUAGUAUAUGUAUUUUUUUUUUUAGUAGAUGUACAUGUUUUAUUGUUAUUUCUCAAACAAACUUGUAGUAUAUGAAUGUAUAAUUUUAUACUUGUUAUGGUUUGUUUUAGAUUUUGUAAGAUUGUAUUUGUUUGAAAAUUGUUAAAACUUAAUUUGUAGAAUUACCGAAUUACAUGUUAUGUUUUGAAAUAAUUAAGAGCUUGCUUAAUUAAUGGGUCCUUUUUAUAGAGGUUCGAUAGAAGUCAUGGAUGAUCGUUCAUGGAUGUAUCUAGAUUCACCCUAAGGAUUGCGGAGGAUGGAUUAUUGUAACGGGGUUCAGGGUUUUAUUAAUUUCGCAACAUCUAUUCCCAUAAAUUUUACUGGAGGCGGUAUUAGGUGUCCAUGCAGGAAGUGUCAAAAUAAAAAGUAUCUGCAUCCAGAUGUUGUAAUGAUGCAUCUUCUACACAAAUGGUUUGUGGAGGAUUACGAGUGUUGGUAUGCACAUGUAGAGGUAUUUGUUAGUAAUAGGAGAAUGGGAGAAACAGUGGUUGGGUCAACUUCUAGUGCUAGCAACGUGCAUGAAGCGGCAAAUGACAACACUAAUCCUUACAGAAACAUGGUUAUGGAUGCAAUGAGAAUGAAUCAAGAUAAUGUCAAUCAAUGUCCAAUCGUAGAAGAAGAACCAAUGCAGAGGCAGCUAGGUUUUUUGAUUUGUUGAAAGAUUCUGACGAACCAUUAUGGGAUGGCUGCACAAACCACAGUAAAUUAUCGGUUGUGGCACAGGUGUUCACCAUCAAGUCAGAUCACGGGUUGAGUGAGGCCGGGUAUGACAAAAUUAUUGAUUGGGCAAGAAGCAUUUUACCAGAAGGGAACAGGCUCAAAGAGAACUUCUAUGCUGCGAAGUCCAUGAUGAAACCCCUCGGUUUAGGAUACCAGAAAAUUGACAUGUGCCCUAACUUCUGCAUGUUAUACUACCUUGAAAAUGUUGUGAUGACCGAGUGCAUGACAUGGUGGCAUAUAAAAAACUUAGAUAUUUCCCGAUCACACCUAGACUGCAGAGGUUAUUUAUGUCACCAAGGACUACUGAGCACAUGACAUGGCACCAAACACACGAUGUCGUUGAUGGUGUGAUGGUGCAUCCUUCUGACGGCGAAGCAUGGAAACGCUUUAACAGUGUUCAUCCUGACUUUUCUGCUGAAUCAAGGAAUGUUCGACUUGGGUUGUGUACAGACGGGUUCAACCCAUUUGGGUCAUUUGCUGCUCCCUAUUCUUGUUGGCCGGUCAUUCUCACAGUUUAUAACUUGCCACCGGGAAUGUGUAUGAGGCCGGAGUUCAUGUUUCUAUCUACUGUCAUACCCGGUCCAAGCAGCCCGGGGCGGAAUAUAGAUGUUUGUCUUCGACCGUUGAUAGAUGAGCUGGCGCAGUUGUGGUCCUCCGGAUCUCUGACUUAUGAUAUAUCGAGGAAACAAAAUUUCCUUAUGAGGGCGGCUUUGAUGUGGACUAUCAGUGAUUUUCCAGCUUAUGGAAUGCUUUCUGGUUGGAGCACGCAUGGGAAACUCGCAUGUCCAUACUGCAUGGAAAACAACAAGGCAUUCACGCUAGCAAACGGAGGUAAAGCUUCUUUUUUUGACUGUCACCGUCGCUUCUUGCCACUUAAUCACAGGUUCAGAAAGAACAGAAAAGAUUUCUUUGUUGGUAGAGUUGAAAAAGAUGUUGCAUCCCCGCGUCUUUCUGGUGAAGAAUUGCAUCAUGUUGUAUCAGAGUACGGUGACAUUGUGUUUGGCCUUCAAUCAGGUAAGCAAAAGUUUCCUGGUUUUGGUUUGACCCAUAAUUGGGUAAAGCGAAGUAUCUUUUGGGAGCUUCCGUAUUGGAAGACUAAUCUUCUCCGCCAUAACCUUGACGUCAUGCACAUCGAAAAGAACGUGUUUGAGAAUAUUUUCAACACCGUCAUGGAUGUGAAGGGGAAGACAAAGGACAACAUGAAGGCUAGAUUGGAUAUAGCUUUAUACUGUAACCGUAAAAAUAUGGAGUUGGUUUAUGACGAGUCACGGGUUGCAAAACCAAGGGCAAGCUUCGUGUUAGAGAAAAACGCACAACUGCUAGUCUACAAAUGGCUUAAGAGUCUGCGUUUCCCGGAUGGACAUGCAUCGAACAUAUCAAGGCUUGUUAACAUAGAGGACUGCAGAUUGUAUGGAAUGAAGAGCCAUGACUGCCACGUGUUUAUGCAAACACUCAUCCCAUUAGCUUUUCGUGAUUUGUUGCCAAAGGGAAUAUGGGAUGCACUAACGGAGAUCAGUCAUUUCUUCAGAGAUAUAUGCUCCAGCAAGAUGAAUGUUGAGCACAUUGAGAUGCUUCAAACGAAUAUCAUCGAGACACUAUGCAAACUUGAGAUGAUAUUCCCUCCUUCAUUUUUUGACUCAAUGGAGCAUCUCCCUAUACAUCUACCGUUCGAGGCAAAAGCUGGAGGACCGGUCCAGUAUAGAUGGAUGUACCCAUUCGAACGGUGAGAUAUUACAGUUGCAAUGGAAUUCAUAUCUUAAAGUAUUUUCUAUGUUUUUCUUAUUUGAAAAUACUUGAAUUGUACUUCAAUGCAGGUACUUGUUUAAUCUAAAAAAAAAGGUUAAGAACAAGGCGCAUGUUGAGGCUUCGAUAUCUGAGGCCUAUAUUGUUGAAGAGAUAUCAACAUUUAUCUCGUACUAUUUCGAACCUCAUCUGAGAACAAGAAUCAAUCGCGUUCCACGGCAUGACGAUGGCGGUGAAGUGCCUUCCAGUGGGAACUUGUCAAUAUUCUCCAAUACUGGACGACCCACACCUAAAAAUGCCGUAAGAGGAAGAUAUUUGUCGGAAAUAGAAUUCAAACAAGCACACAACUAUGUUCUAUUUAACUGUGAUGAGCUGAGACCAUUUAUUCAGUAAGUCUAUAUAUGUGUAAUACUAAUUAAACUUUGUCAGUAAUAUACUGUUAAUUAUAUAUUGUAAUAUCAUACACUCAUUAUCACUUGCAGGCAACAUCGACAAUAUUUGCUCUCCAAUAACUCGCAGCUGACCGAAUCCCAGAUCUUUCAAUUACAAGAUGAACAAUUUGCCACAUGGUUCAGAACACAUGUAAGCACUAUCACAAACUCAUUCUAACGUAUGCAUGUCAUUACGAGAUUCUCGUUCAUUUACCGUGUAUUGAUGUACAUUUAAUUACAUAUAUUUACAAGGUUUAUCAAAUGGGAAGGAGUGCGCCCAAGUCAUUGUCUUCACUAAGCCUCGGCCCUGAAAGAAAAGUUAAGUGCUACAACGGGUAUUUUGUCAAUGGAUAUGUUUUCCAUACUGAAGAAUACGGGCAAGGAAGAAAGACAUACAACUGCGGUGUUUGUGUUAAGGGAUCCACAAGUAGCCAGUUAGAAGUUGACUACUAUGGUAGAUUAGAAGAGGUCGUCGAACUGCAAUAUCAUAGCGAGCAGAAUAAAGUGUUUUUAUUCAAAUGCUAUUGGUAUGACACGACGGACAGAGGAAUCAGAGUUGAUCCGCACCAUGGUCUGGUCGAAAUCAACUCAAAAGCUAGACUCCGCAACAUAAACGAUGUCUUUGUUUUCGCAAAGCAAUGUCAACAAGUUUAUUACACAUACACCCCUUCAUUUAGAAAGGAUCGUUCAAGAGUUGAUUGGUUGUCCGUUUUAAAAACGAAACCACGGGGUCGUGUCGAGGUUGUUCAGGAUGAGAACGAAGACACAAGUGUGCGAGAUGAAGUCUUUCAAGUUCGUGAGUUGGUUGAACCAUAUCGAGUUGCUCCUUCGAUUGAAUUGGAAGAAAAUUCAAAUUUUCGAGUUCUCGAUGAUAGUCUUGUUGAUAUUGACGGAGAGGAGUUGAAUGUUGUUCUCAGCUCUAGCGGACAAGCAAAUGUCGAUGAAGAAGAUGAUAUCCAUAUUGAAGAUUGCGAUGAAGAUGAUGACAAUUCAAUUGAUGAGGAAGAAGAAGAAAAUUCCGACUAAUUAUGAAAAUGAAGCCCUAUGUAAAAACAUUUGUCUCAUGUAAUUUAGAUUAUUGAUGAUGUAUUUUGUAAAACAAAAUAUUUAUUGUUUAAGCAAUGUGGUUAUUGUUUUAUGUGAUGGAGUUUAUCAGUUAAGUUUUGCAGGAAGGUAAACAGGCAAUACAAAGACAACCUUUCCUGCAUAAUGCAAAUCACCGACGUCCAUACCGACGGACACCAUCCGUCGGUAUCUCACAGAGAGUUCGAAAAUAUUUACAACAAAAUGCCACAAUCACCGACGUCCAUACCGACGGACAACCAUCCGUCGGUAUCUCACAGAGAGUUCGAAAAUAUUUACAACAAAAUGCCACAAUCACCGACGUCCAUACCGACGGAAACCAUCCGUCGGUAUCUCACAGAGAGUUCGAAAAUAUUUACAACAAAAUGCCACAAUCACCGACGUAUACCGACGGAAACCAUCCGUCGGUAUCUCACAGAGCUCGAAAAUAUUUAACAAACCACCACAUCGACGAUUACCGACGGCUAGGUCCGUCGGUAAUUUGUCGGUCACAUAUUACCGACAGAAAUACCGACGGACCGCGCGAUUUCCAAAGUGUGUUAAUUAAUGCGCCUCUGAACUUGUCAGAUUACCGACGGAAUCACCGACGGACUGCGAAAAUAUGGAGGGCUUUUAAAAAUUCGGGGCGAAAUUCAAAAAUACCGACGGAUUUUUGACCUGUUACCGACGGAAUUUUACCUUUUACCGACGGAUAUUAAUUCCGUCGGUGAUUCCGUCGGUAAAAUUGCCUAUAAGUUCCAGCCCCGCCGCUUCGCCUCAUUUUUUCUUCUCUCCCCGCCGCUUCGCUUCUCCUCCUUUUUCACCUCAGAUUUUUCAUUUUUUCCCCUCAAUCCUUAAACACUUUCACCUUUAAUCUCUAGCAAGAUUUGGUGUUGUAAAUCUUCAUCAUAUUAAAAGGUAUGUGUUUUUUUUAAUUUAUUUUAUUUUAUUUUAUUUUUAGUUGUUUUUAUUUUUGUUGUUUUGGUGUUUUUUGUUGCAAUGUAGAUAAAGUUUUGAAUUUGACACAUUAUUAAGGUAUGUAUAUUUCGUUCCUUUUUGAUGUAGGUUUUUAAUUUUUUAAUUUUUUGUUGUUGUGUUGUUAGAAUUGUUAUUAGUUAAUUUAACUUAGAAUUAGUUAAAGUUGAAUAUUUGAAUUUUUUUGAAUUUUUUGAAUUUGUUGAAUAUUUGUUAAUUUAAUUGUUAGUCUAAUAUUUUUUUUAAUUAUUGAAUAUUUUUGUUGUUUGUUGUUAGAAUUGUUAUUAGUUAAUUUAACUUAGAAUUAGUUAAAGUUGAAUAUUUGAAUUUUUUUGAAUUUGUUGAAUAUUUGUUAAUUUAAUUUUAAUCUAUAUUUUUUUUUAAUUUAUUGAAUAUAAUUUAUUGUUGUAUUGCCAUAUAAUUAUUGAUUAAUUUAUUGAAUUAAUAUUGUUAAUGUUGAAUUUACCUUAGAAUUAAUAAUUGCGUUUGUUGGAAUAAUUAUCGAUUUCAAUUUAAUUUAUUUACUUUUAAUUUAUUUUUAGUUGUUUUAUUUUUGUUAUUUUGUUGUUUUGGUGUUUUUUUUGAUAAUGUAGAUAAAGUUUUGAAUUUGUCACAUUAUUAAGGUAUGUAUAUUUCGUUCCUUUUAUUCAUGUAGGUUUUUUUUUUGAAUUUUUUGAAUAUUUUUUAUUGUUUUGUUGUCAUAAUUAUAAUGAUUAAUUUGUUUAAUUAUAAUUGUUAAUGUUGAAUUGUAAUGAUUAAUUUGUUGAAUUAUAAUUUGUUGAAUUUAUUGAAUUUAUUUUUUGUCAUAUUUUUUUAUUGUUUUGAAUAUAAUUAUUGAUUAAUUUGUUGAAUUAUAAUUGUUAAUGUUGAAUUAAAAUGAUUAAUUUGUUGAAUUAUAAUUUGUUGAAUUUAUUGAAUUUAUUUUUUGUCAUAUUUUUUAUUGUUUUGAAUAUAAUUAUUGAUUAAUUUGUUGAAUUAUAAUUGUUAAUGUUGAAUUAAAAUGAUUAAUUUGUUGAAUUUAUUGAAUUUAUUUUUUGUCAUAUUUUUUAUUGUUUUGAAUAUAAUUAUUGAUUAAUUUGUGAAUUGUAAUUGUUAACGUUGAAUUUAUCUUAGGAUUAAUAGUUGAAUAUGUUGGAAUAAUUAGUAUAGAUUGGUUCGAUUGGUUGUGGCUAUUGUUAACAUUUGCAGGUUUGUGGAUUUGGGUAGUAUCCAGUAUAGGGGAGGUGCUGCCGAUUUUUUUUAACUUUUGAAUUUUAUUAUACAAUUAUUAAUAUAAAAUUGUUUAGAUGCGCAAAAUGAAAACCAGAGUUGGUCGUCCAGUCGAAUCAAGUUCGUCUAGCAGCGAUGAUGAUGUUUCCUUAGGUGCCUCUCAAGAAGAGGCACCUACACCACCUGCGCCGUCAACCGAUGCUGCCUCUUCCAGCGAUGUUUCACAUCGCAGACGCGGCGUGCCUUCGAAGCGGAAUCAAUUUACCCGCCAGUACGAGGCACAGUGGAAGGACGAUCUUUCAAUUUAAGUUUGUUAAGGUUUUAGUUUUUUUUAUAUAUAUAAAAAACAAAUUUAAAACAUAAUUUAUGAAGUAAUCACAAAUUAAUUUCAUUUCUUUUCAGGUUCACAAACAUUGAGGCCGCCCGAGUAAUAUCAUCGGCGUUUAAAGCGUCGAUGGAGAUUCCAUUGUUUCAAUGGAGUCAGAUAUCCAGACAUCCUGAAUGGAUGCCUCAAAUCAAUGCAUGGUUUCGUAGAUUUGAGGUUCAUGUUAAUAUAUAAUUUUCAGCUUAUUUCUAAUAAAUUCAAGUUAUAAUUGUAAAUAAAUUAUUAACAUUUUAAAAAAUUAUUUUUUUACAUACAGCAUCGAUUCUGCUAGGACGAUGAACAUGACACUAUUGUGAGGAGGGUGCGGCAAUUAGGUAACAUCGAAAACAAUACGACUUUUUUUUACAUAAUUAUUUAUGUUUCGAAAUGUAAUUUUUUCGUGCGUGAAUUAGGUUGCGUGAUUUUUGGUAUGACACCCAGAAAAAAGCAAAAAAAACAGCGAGGGAUAAGGGGUUCCAAGGCUGGAACGAUGUUGCGGUUUGGAGGGAUUUCAAACCAAUAUACAUCCCGGAAGAUAUAUGGCCAUACUAUCUUCAGCACGUGACGUCUGAGCGGUUCACUCGACGCUCACAGUCCGGUGCUGGCAACCGGAAUCGGCCAAUUCAUGGCUCGGUGACAACGCACACCGGCGGCUUCGUUCUGUUUUCUGCACAUGCGAAACGAAUGGUAAGAUUAACUUAAAUGAAAUAUAUCAUUCAAUUAAUUUGUUGUUAAUACAUUUUUUUCAUUAUAGGCUACGUCUCUUGGACGUGAGCCGAGCCCUAUAGAGCUGUUUGUGGAGACGCACGUGCGAAGUCAUGACCGCCAAAAGGGGACGCAACAGUUCGUUGAUAACCGUGCUCAACAUUUUGUAGUAUGUUUGUUCAACCAUUUUAUUUUGUUUUGUAAGUUAUUAUUAUGUUUAUUGAAUUGAAUAUGAUGAUUUUUUUUCAGGAGACCUAUAAUAAUCGGUUGAGGGAGAGAUACGGGGACGAUCCAUCGACCCAUCCGAAAUUCGAUCCGGAUUUGUGGAUGGAGGCUGGAUCGUCAGGUGGACCCGAUAAAAAUCGGGUUUACGGGCUCUCCAACACUACCGCGACCAACUUGUGGUCGACCGGUACUGCUUCAACCGCUGGGAGCUCCCAAUCUGUAUCGAGCUCCCAAUCUAAGGAGUUUGUGGCCUUGCAGCAAAGGUGCGACCACCUAUCAGAGGCAUACACACAACUCAAAGAAGAGCAAAGAUUGGCGAACGAACAACACAGAGCAGAGUCUGAACAACAAAGAGCGGCCUAUGAAGAGCUUCCACAAAUGGUCAUGAACAUGACACAAGGUGGAACAUGUGCGCCUAAUCCUUUUUGGCCGCCUAACCCCCAUCCUCCUCCUCCUCCUCCUCCUCCACCUUUAUAUUAAUUUUUAAUUAACAUUAUUUACAUUUAAAAAUUUGUUUAAUGUUUUUUUGAAACACAUUCAUUUUGUAAUGAAUAUUAUUUCACUUUGAGUUUUUGUUGCUUAAUAUAAAUUUUAUUUGCAUAAUUGGUUUGUAUUACCAUUAAUUUAUAUCAUUUUUUCAAAAUAAUUAAAAAAAAAUUAAAAAAAAAAAUUACACAGGGAUUUACCGACGGAAUAACUCCGUCGGCAUUAGACAGUGUCCGUCACCGUCACUGACCAUCACUGACGGAACAAAUCUGUCGGUAUAAAUUUCCCGAUGUAUUUACCGACGGAAAUAUUCCGUCGGUAUAUUUAUAACACCUACGGAAAAUAUUCCGUCGGUAUAUUCCAAGCGGGAAACUUUUUUUUUUGGCGCGCACGGUCCGUCGGUAAAAGUUUUUUUUGUAUUUCUGACCGAUAUAGCGACGGAAUGUGGAAUCACCGACAAAAGGUAUUCCGACGGGAGUAUUCCGUCGGUAAUAUAGUCGGUAAAUGCUUUACCGACGAAAUUUCUAUCACACACCGACGAAAUAUUUCCGUCGGUAAAACUGUGAAAUCUUGUAGUGAAUAUUUUUUUUGAAAAAAAAAAUGAAAUUCUUCUUAUUUUGUUCAUGGUUCAACCUAAAAUCAAAACAUAUAUCAUGAGAAAAAAUUGAUAAUUUUGGUGAUUCUGUUAAAAACAAAACAUAAAAAAAUCAAAGUAUAAUCAAAACAAACCAAUGAAAUAUAUCUAAUUAAUUAAAAAAAAAACACUAUAACAAGAAUUCAAAAAACAAUUGGUAAAAUUAGCAGAUCUAAGAAAAAAAUAAAGCAAUUAUUAACAAAAACAUCUCAAAAAAAAAAAAUAUAAAAUAUUAACAAACAUCUCAAAAUAAAUUAAAUUAAGUUACCUUAUUUUGUUUAAUGAAAAUAAAUUAAUUGAUGGCUCUAUUUCAAUUUUUUCGUUGAAAAAUUUUACUUAUGAUUUAUAUUUAUAUUUUUGUUUUUGACCGGCUGCAAAAUUUAUUGUGGAAAAUAAUGAAUUUAUAUUUACAGGAUUUAUAUUAGGGUAUGUAAAUUAAUUUUUUUAAAUCAAAUUAAAAAAUCACACUUAAUUACAGUAAAAAACUUUUGUAGAAUAAAAAACCUCAUCCACACUUAAUUACUAAUCUAUACGUCUCUUUCCCUUCUCUCUAUCACUCUUGCCUGCAACAACUGUUAACACGAGACUUGAAAUUCAAGUCAAGUGGUGUCCAUCAUCCCAUUUUUCCAAGGGCGGUACCCUAAAGACGUGAUUAUAAUAAAAAGUCUAUAUUUCCUGAAAAAUAGAAAAGAAAAACACUACAAAGCUGAGAAAGGCAGACAACAUCGAUUGUCAAAAUCUGAAGGAUACUCAAAUGAGUUUCGGAAAUAUUGAGGAGGGUGCAGGAAAACCUGAAAAUGUACGAGAGAACACAACCCCAUCACGGGUUGCUGUAAUGUGAUAGAAUUAUGGAAUGAAAAACAGAUUGGAAUGAGCAAUAACUAUUACUUGAUUUUUCUAUUUUCUGGUUGUGUAAUUAUCAAUCUGUAAGUGUUUGUUUGGAAUGCUAGGAAUAGCAAUCUAAUGCAUGAGAAUAGCGCAGAGCAGCUCAAAAUCUAAUUAAAUUUAUGUUUAGUGGAGACUAUGAAUGAUAAGGUAUAUCUGGGGGCACUGUAUGUGUCUGGAUCUGAUUUUUCACAGAAAAUUCGACUGAGGAAAAUCAAUAUCUAUGAGCAAUGCAAACCCUUAAUAGUCUGAAUUAAUGUGUUUCUACACCAUCUGUUUCUUGGGACUGACCGCAUGCUAACCUUAAGUUUGCAUAACAUCAAGCUACAACAAUAUAAUGGAUAUAUGCAAAACACAAGCUCAGGAUUCUACAGUGGCACCAGUUCCACUUAUAACAAAUUGAAGCUACUGUUUAUAUAUAUAGACAUGAUCUAAUGCUAGCAAGCUGCGAAUCAUAUAUUUUAAGCAGUCCACAUUGAGAAAUGAUUUCAAUCUCAUCUUGCCUUUGGGUCAAUUAUUUCAGAAAACACACCCCUUGCUCUUUGAUCUGGAUCACUUUGGGUGACACUUUCACGAGUGCUAACAGUGCUCCUUGAAUGUGACUCCGCUCCACUAAACAUGUCAUCGUCAUCAGUGGUCAUGACAUCUUGAUGUGGUGAAAAUGAGCUUUUAUUUUCCAUAUUGAUCCCGUCUACACUGUUGGCAUUUUUCUCAGCAGAUUGUUGAAGCUGCAAUGCAAAUUCAAGGCCCCAAACGACAUCACCCAUUUUAGGGCGUUCAAUUCCUGAAACAUGUAAGCAACUGUUAGCAAUCUCUGCAAACUUAUUUAAAGAGACAGGGGAAACCUCGCCCUUUAAAUGUGGAUCCACGAUCUGAUCAAGGGUUCCUCUUUGGUAACACUUUCUUGCCCAGUCAGCUAAGCUUGCUUGAUCUUUCGGUGAACUUGGAAUCACUGGUGGCCUUGCACAUAGCACCUCAAACAAAACCACACCGAAUGAAUAAACAUCAGAUUUCUCUGUCAGGUGUUGCCUACGGUAGUACUCUGGAUCCACAUAUCCAAUGCUACCUCUAACUACAGUGCUAACAUGGGUUUGGGAUGUACUAGUGGGACCCAAUCUGGACAGCCCAAAAUCUGAAACCUUAGCCACCCAAUUCUCAUCUAACAAUAUGUUUGUUGACUUCACAUCACGGUGAAUGAUUGUGUGCUUUGCUCCUGAAUGAAGAUAAUGCAACCCUUUAGCAGCACCGAUGCAUAUUUCUAGCCUUUGCUUCCAUGGAAGAGGAGAGUUCUUUGUUUUGUAUAGAUGUUCUCUAAGAGUGCCUCUUGACAUGUAAUCGUAUACAAGAAUCAUCUCGCCAUGAUCAUCACAGUAUCCAAUCAGUGACACUAGAUGGAGGUGGCGCAGAUUGGAUAACAUCUCAAUCUCUGUCUGGAACUCACGUGUCCCUUGCUUUGAUGAUGACUCUAGUCGUUUGAUGGCUACUGCGAUGAAACCGUAUUCAAUGUAUCCUUUAUACACAGUACCAAACCCCCCUGAACCAAUAAUAUUUUGAUCAUCAAAGUUUCCUGUUGCUUCGUUGAUUUCGAAAAAUGUAAACCGUCGGCAAAGAUCAGUAGGCAGUGAUGAAGAGAUUGUAGUCGUGGACCUAGAUGUUUGUGAUAUUAGAGUCCAGGAGGAUUUUUCCUCACUCUUGCUAGGGUCCUUGACUCGCUUCUGCUUGAAAGCAAAGAAAUAAAGAAUAAGAGAGCAAGCAAAUACUGCACCUAUGGAACCUCCAACGAUGGCUAUAACCGUAAGUAUUGAUGAUCUUUUGCCCGUUCUUCUGUCUUGUAGACUUGGAUGUUGUUCUGCUGGUGGAGGAGCCACUGUUGGCUCAGGGUUGAAUCCUGCAAGAUUUCCUGUGUUGUAUUCAGCUUGAAUAUUUCCAAGCCAUUCAAGAUUGCAUCAGCAUAAGUAGGUUUCAGUUCCAUGUUAGGGUGUAGUUCGAGCCACAAGCCCUGCUUGCUCUGGCUCCCUGAGGGACCGCACGAUGUAGUCUUUGUAAACUGGAAUGCCGUUGCCACCGCUCAUAUGGAUCACAUCUGCAUCAUCUGCUGUUUGAUUGUUGAUGAAUAUUAAAAAUACCUGUGAUUUUCAUUUUGAACUCCAUUCGAGUCUCACAAAAGUGGAGCCUAAGGAGAUAAUGAAACCAGCAUCAACUGGGAAGAUCCAUGUGAGAUUGUAAUUCAUGUUAAGAAUGGUUCAGGACCCAUUGAACGCAUAGUACUAUAUACCAUAACAGGUGCGGAGUAAGCUGGCGUUUUGGUUGUGUACUUUAUCUUGACGCCUGGGAGAUAUGGAUGUUUCCAGCUUUUCCAAAGAGAUACUCUGAAUCUUGAUGCCAUGUCCUGUACAUUCCAGUCUUGUCUCCAGUGCUGCUGAUAUCUUGCCCCCCAACAUUCAGUCGAUAAACUGUCUCAAGCGCAGUUGUGUUACCCAGAUAGAAGGUGGGCGUGCCCACAUAGGUCAGUGGAUUAUCAUCGCCACGAGCAUAGAAGCUGUCUGGCAUGGAAACGAUUUCGAUACCAUUAACGAAGGCAAAAGAUGCUGGAGACGGAUGAAGGUUAAUUCAAGCUUCUGGUUGUCCCACACGGUGAUGAUGAACUCUUUGGUGAAGUAGUCAACUGGAGGUCUUAUAGCAGAAACUGUAAGAGAGGCACUAAAGUUGUUUAGUAGCUUGUAGUUGUUGGCACUAAGCGAAAAAUAGGAUUUGGAUAUGUCAAGAUUUGAGUAAGAAGCUGGAUAAAAGUAGAGACGCACAAAUUUUGGGCCAGGCAAGACUGGAAAUGUGUAAGUGAAUUAGAGUGAAAAAUACGGGCUGUCAUGUAUGGGACUUGGUCGACAGAGGGGUCUUGAGUGGAGGCUUCAAACACAGAUGAGGCUUCUGGGGGGUUAGAGGCAGCAAACUUAGACUGGGAAUCACCAUCCCAGCUGCGACCAUCUGGAGAUGACAAAUUAGAGGAUGCACCACAGUUAAGGAGUAUUAGAUCAGUGGGUCUGUAUGGCAGCAAGUAAUCUUCAGUAGCAGUAGCAUAGAGGAAGAGAUGGAGGGGAGGGAGAAGGUAGAGAAAGAUGAAGAUGGACAUUACUAUGCUAGUUCUUUGGUGGAGUAAAUUGGAGUAAGAAAAAAUAUCUAUUAAAUGCAAAGAUUUUGAUUUAAGGGAAGAUGAUCAAUGGUGUCGCUGUCUCCAUACAGUAACAUUUUUGCUCAGGUUGAGAAUAAUCCAAUAAUAUAUUUGAGGCCCGUCGGAGAAGAAAAUUCGACGAUAUGGCUAAUGGGACAUAUUGGUCAGCUUUGGAUGGCUGCUUCCCGUUGUGUGGUUCUGAAUUCCGCAAUAAAGCCGCAAUGAACAAUCUAAUUUCAACAAAGGAUCGGAGUUGAGUGGAUGUGAUCCUCCUCCAUGUGUUGUAUUCUUUCUCUAUCUCUAAAUAAAAUGAACCUCUCCCGUGAAUGUAGGCGGUUUUGCCGAACCGCGUUAAAUAUUGUGCCAGUGUGCUUGCCCUCCGUUGAGCAAAUAUCAAUACAUCACCGGUCGGAUUUCCCAACAAUUGGUAUCAGAGCUGAUGGUUUAAAGUGGUGUUUGAUUUUUGCUCAAAAAAUGAAAGUUGUCAAAAUUGUGUUUUGACCAAACCACCGUGUAGAGGAGGAAGAGACGAAGCCACUGUUGAAAAAUGUGUUGAAAUCGGACGUCGGACAUGGCUGCGCGUGCCGUCACGCAUCGGCGGGGUGGCUGGCCACGUGCGCAGCAGCGCGCCUCGUCACACGUGUCUUCUUCGCCUGGAUGGGUUGACCCGACCCGAAUACCAGACGACCAGACCCACGUGGCUGACCCGGAUAAGGAUGACAUCAGCAUGACAUAAUUAUGAUGUCAUCAUGCACAGUAGCAUGGCCCAGGAUGACAUCAACAUGAUGUAAUGGUGGCGUCAUCAUGCACAGUCAGCAUGCCAUGUCAGCACAGUGAGCCGAGCCGAAUUGGAGCUGAGCCAAGCCACGAGCCGAGGGAUAGGAUUAUGUGUAGCUGAGUCUACGUGCAAUCGGAUCUGAGAUUGAAUGUGAGCCGUUGAUCAAGCCAGAAUUGUUUUGAUCAAAGCUUAGUCGUCUGAAGUGUGAUUUGGAUGAUUCAAGACAUGUUUCCAGCUAAUUUGAACAUUCCGGAUGCAAUGGUACGGUCCGAUCGUUGAGAUAUGAGACCGAAAAUGACGGUGGUGAAUUAUUAAAGAGAGAUUGCCCGAUCAGGAGGCAUCUGAGGGUCUUGAUGGAGGUCGAUGGAGAUGAUGAAGAAGAAGGUGCACAUGUUUUCCCAAUUACAUGUGCUGAACUAUUAAAUGGGAAAAUGUAAUGCCUUGAUGGAAGGCAAAAUUGGGACACUCUGGACACCCGGUUAUGUGGACAAUUGAGGUGGAGAGUGAAAAUUGACGAAGACCAAUCUUGACGAAUCUAAGCACUGUAGUCUCGCAGAUGUUGAGAAAUCAGGUAUAAAACCUGAUACCAGAUCACUUGUAAAGGAAAGCCGCAACAAAGCUAGCAAAUGGUUGUAUAUACGGAAAGACAGUACGAUGGAUAGAUAUGGCCUAAGAAGUUCUGUCUAGGAGAUUGGGUUUUAAGGGACCGUGUGACCCCUCCAAUCUUUCCUGGGAACUUGCUUAGUGGAAGGAUUAUCCAUACGGUACUAUUUUCGUAUAUGUAACAGUUUGUAAUGAAAUUGUUGAAGACUAGCAGGAUGACGGCACAAGGGGAACAGUUGGGUUCCGUAUGAUCAAGGAUCUGAUGGAGUGGUGAUUUCUUCAAAGAAGCUAGUUUCGGUGACUGUGAUUUCUCGAGGGAAGAAUUGAUGAAGACGCUGAUAAUGGAAGAGAAAUAUAGCAAGGGGAUAAAGAUUGACACCCUAUUUUGAAUUGGACAAGUGUUGUGUCAAGAUGAGCUGCUGUCAAACAUAAGCAAGGAAUAGGGAGAAAUCUAGAGAACAGAAAUUGCACGAGAGCACACGGAGAUUGUGCAGGAGUACCCGUAGGAUCCAACAAGGUACUGUAAUGAGACAACAGGUACAAGGAGAAGAAGAGUUCCCAGAUGAAGCUAAAAGCAGAGACUGUGUAUAAUAGGAAGUCUCUUAUGCUCUUGAUGAAGACAACAGGCGAAGACCUUUCCAAUGCAUGCAAGGAUGGAAAGAUGAGUUGUUGUAGAGGCACCUAAUUGAGGGGAUGCAAACGCCUGUGAUAAAAGGCAACGGUUUAUGAAAGGCAAAGACACCAAAGAGAGUUGGUGUAGGUGGAGCUGUUAAGCGCAAUGAUGAAAGGCGUAGAAGCUCCAAACAUAGAAAUCGAGGUGGAGGAUUGGGAGGAGUAUACCGCAAGUUUCUCUUUCUAUGUAGUUAGUGGCAGUAAUCUCUCUCAAGUCCACAUGGUGGUAGAGAAUUUUGGAGCCACUUUGAAGCAUCUCAGCUGAAGGAGGAUGCGACCGCCUAUGAAAAGGCGAAGACACCUUAGAGAGAAGGUGUGGGCCAUGUAAGCCCAAGAUCAGACGCCCAUGACAACGGGCGAAGACACCUUAGAUAAGGUGUGUGGGCCAUGAUAGGAGCCCCAGAUUCAGAUCGCCCCAUGACAACGGGCGAAGACACCUAAGAUAAGGUGUGAGGGCCGUGAUAGGAGCCCCAGUUCAGACCGCCCCAUGACAACCGGCGAAGACACCUUAGAGAAGGUGUGAGGGCCAUGAGAGGAGCCCCAGUUCAGACCGCCUUAUGACAACAGGCAAAGACACCUUAAAAAAGGUGUGAGGGCCGUGAUAGGAGCCCCAUUUCAGACCGCCGCAUGACGACAAGUGGAGACACCCAAGGAGAAGGUGUGUGGGCCACGAUAUGAGCCUAGUUCAGAACGCCCCAGAGCCAAUGUGAUGGCUAGAUAUGAGUGGACAGGUGUAUAGCCAAUGAAGUGGCUAUGAUGAGUAUGGAGACAAAUGCAGGAUUGACUUCAUGGAUAUUGCCCCCAUGCUAAAGAUCAAUGAGCUAGAAGACAUUUGCCUUGGACAAUAAGUGGAUGACUUAUGGAGCAUUAAGACGCGACUGCUAUGAAGGAGUAGAGGGCAUGUGCAGGUUCCUGGAACAAGUUGACUCUUGUCAAAGUGGUGAGCUCGGUGUAGACAUUGUAAUACUCACAGUAUCAAGACAGAUAUGGAUCAACCUUUAAUGGGUUGCCCCCAUAGGUAAAGGUGGAAAGCUACCUGGACUCUUGAGACUAAGAGUGAGAGACUCAUGGAGAAGUAAGGCGUUGUUUCUAGGGUGGAACAGAGGGCAGCGCAACUCCUGGAUGAGUAGACUCUUGGAAGAGUGGUGAGCUCGUGAUCAUAUUGAGAUACUCAGAUAAUGACUGUCGCACUUGGAAAUAUCCGUUUGAGGGGGUGUUCUAAGCCUUGGUGUGAGGCUUGAUAAAUCAUUCAGGACCGAGCAUGGUUGAUACACUCGAAGGGGAAUGAUGUGUCCCAGAGACAAGCGUUAACACUCUUCAGAUGUGAUGUGGGAGACCAUCUGGUUGCAGUGAUCCUUUUGUGUGAGAAAAGGUGUGCUUUGGUGACUCUGGUGAUUGAAAGGUUUGGCGAGUACCUGUAAACUUGGCCACAGACGCUCUCGGAAUGGUAAGCUUGGAAGAGCUGCAGGAUGCAAGAUUGUGCUGAAGAAGCAAGAGGACAAUUGCCCAUAUAAAUGUCAAAGGGGGUGAUUGUUGGGAUAUUGUCAUUAUUGGGCAACAUGUGCAGCCUACCCUAUAAAGAGUAGGGUUACCAUUUGUCAAUGGUAGUUGCACCCACCAUUGAUAAAUGUAUCAACCCAUGUGCAACUAUUGUUGUUGAAGAAGAACAGCCACCAUCCUUGCCUAUAAAUAGACAGCAAGAGAGCAGAACAAUUGAGAGAGGGAUUGUGAGAAUGUAGAGAGUGUGAAGAGAGAAAGAAAGAGAAGGGCUGCCACCAGCAGCCCUGCUGCCUUAUGCAGCUACUGCCCUAUGCAACAAUGAGAGAUGGGAGUUGACUGGAUGUGAUCCUUCUCCAUGUGUUGUAUUCUUUCUCUAUCUCUAAAUAAAAUGAACCUCUCCCGUGGAUGUAGGCGAUUUUGCCGAAUCAUGUUAAAUAUUGUGUUAGUGUGCUUGCCUUCCGUUGAGCAAAGAUCAGUACAUCACCGGUCGGAUUUCCCAACAGUUAUACUCAUCGAAAACAUGAGUAAAAAAAAAAAAGAAGGGUUCAGACAGUUGCACCCACCAAAGGUUGAGAUGAAAUAAAAAGAGGCAGGAAUUGAAUUCAAAGGUAUUUUUGCUGUAAACAAUUCCAAUCCUUUGUAUGAUUUUUUAGGGAGAAUCUCACUUAUUGAAGAAAAAUAUUGCCAUCAAUUGUUUGACAACUAAGUUGGAAAAUUCUUUGGAAAUGUUUUGAGAAAAUCUUUCAAGGUGCAGGGGUUUUGAUUCAUCUCUUGAAAGGUUAAAACCUUUUGAAUUUUUAUUUUUGAAAAAACAACAUUGUUUACAUCUUGAUUAUGAGUUAUUUCAACAAAGUCAAUAUCAACCAAAAUAAACUCAUAGAAUUUGUUUUGUUUUCAACAUAUUUUCUAAAAUAACUUAUGAAAAUAAUAGCUUCUUGACUUGAAAGGGUUAAAGCUUUUUUUAGGGAAAAUUUGGAGGGUAAUUAACACAAGUGAAAGAACAAGCAAUGGGACAAUAGCGAGAAAAAGAAAAUUAAUAGUUGAAAUAGAGUAGAGCACAAGAAUUCUAAUUUAUAGUUUUAUUGAUGAAGAGAAAAAUUCACUAUUUCUUUUGCCUCUUUAAGAUGUUUUCAACUUUUUAAAUAAUCUAAAAAAUCAAACUAAUCAAACAAGAAAACCCUAAAAUAAAGAUAAAAAAUAUUAAAAUUCCUAAACAAACUUAGAGAAAUAAAAUUACUAUUCUCAAUAUUUAAUUUCCUAAACUAAGUAGAAAAAAUAAAAUCACCGAAAAUAUUUUCCUAAACUACAUAGAAAAUAAUAAUAACUAAGAAAUUUUAAUUUCAUAAAAACCCUUGGCAUCAACAAUAAUGUUGUAAAAGGUGUAUUAAUUUUGGGAUUGAACAAACUAGGGAUUUUGGAGAGAUUAAGAAUAAUUUAUAGGUGAGGUGUUUGGACUAGAUCAUGCUGAUGAAAGGAUUCAAAAUUGAUUAUUUAAGAUACUAGCCUGAAGAAGGUCAAACCCUCCUUGAAAUAAAUAUCUUGAACGCUUGAUGUUGUGGCUUGAAUUGGUCUUGAUGGUGUAAGAGCAUAUGAUUAUUUUGACUUAUUUUGAGCCUAGUAAAGACUCUUUGGAUAAAAGACUCUUUGGAUAAAAGACUCUUUGGAUAAAAGACUCUUUUACUUCUUUCAUUAAUUCAAUCUCGAAAUCAUAUUUUAAUAGAUUAUCUUGUUACCUGGCAAAAAUUUGUUUUGACACAAUAUUUUGAAUAUUUUUUUCAACAACUUAUUUUACAUAUUGACAAUUUAUUUGUAAAAGAAAUUUCUGGAAAAUAAAUCAUCUUGAAAAUAUUAGAUGUAUAAAAUAAUUAAUAAAAUUUUAUUUUUGAUAGUUGAAUAAUUUUCUUGAGGAUCCAACCAAAUACCUAAAUGAUAUUGCAAUAUAUGUUAUUGACUUUGAAAAUUUUGUUUGAGAAUACCACUAUAACUAAUAUCAAAGGCAUCGGUUUCAACUAUAAAAAAGGCCUCUAGAUCAUAAAGUCUUGAACAUGAAAACUCUUGACUUGACUUUUAAGAGUAUUCACAAUUUUGAUCAUUUGAUGAUUGAUUUUAGACAGGAGGGUUUUUCUUAAGUCUUUUGUACAAAGGUUGACAUAUAGUUCUAUGAUUUGGAAAAAUAUCUAAAACAUAAUCGAGGCAUCCCAUAAACUUUUAAAGCUAGGUUUUACCCUUGAUCUUAUUUAUGAAUUUAAUGGUAAAUUUUAUUAUAGUGACAAGGGUUAUUGAUAAAUUAUAAUUUUUAAGGUUGAGAAAACUAAUCUAUUUUGUUUGAUAAUAUUAAGAAACAUUUGUAAGUUGUUCAAAUGUUUGGUUAUUAGUUUUAAAAAUAAAAGAACAUCAUCUAUGUAUAUAAUCAUAAUUUUGAAUAUAGAUUAAAGAUGUCAUUCAUGAUGCUCUGAAGUUUUGAAGGAGUAAUUUUUAGUUCAAAAGACAUUAUAUCUCAUUUGUAAUGACCAAAUAAAAUAAUGAAUGUUGUUUUAUAAUGAUUUUUUUAAUCAAUUUAGACUUGUUAGAAUCUUGAUUUCAUAUCAAUUUUUGAAUAUAUUGAAGAAUUUUAAAGUCUUCUGAUAAGAUCUCUCUUAUUGUGUAUUGGAUAUCUAAUAUAUUGGAGCACUUUGUUGAGAGGCUUGUGAUUUAUGACAUGUCUUAGUGCAUGAUUAGUACUUAAAAGUGUAUUUUAUCAAUGUUUUAUAUUAUCAUUUUGUACUUGAAGUAUCAAUAACUCCUUAACUAGAGCAUGUUUUAUAAUAACAAGUCUGAUAAUAUAAGAUAACUUUAAUUUAUGGUAAAUGCUCAUUUUAAAUACAGACAUAUCUCACAAUCCAAAGGAUUGAUUGCUGUGAUUAACUAUUGAAAGUGAAAAGACAAAGAAAAGGCUAAGCUUAGAAAGGAGAUGCAGAUUCAAUUCAAAUUGGAACACUGUUAAGUUAUUGGGUCAUAUCUGGAGCUACAGUUCUUGGAUUUCAGUUUGGUUUAUAUGGCUAGAAAGAUAAGAAAUAGGCUUACAAUGUUCAUGAAUAGUGAAAGACCCAAAUCUUCCGUUUUCAAAUUCAAAGUUUGGCCACAAAAGAGAAGUUAGAAUCUGUCCUACAAUCCAGCCCAAACACUGCUCAUACUUUUACCCAUAGCUGGAGUUUUAAAAGGAAAAAUGAUGUCAAAUUUGGUGGGUGGAAGGAUAAGACAAUUUUCAAAAACUUUCAUGCAGACGACCUGCUCCAAUUAUGAUGUUAGAAAUGACAUUUCAUCCAGACAAGAGCUUGAGGGAUGUCCACUACGUCCACCAGAAGCACUACUCAGUAUUUUAGCCAUAUCUCAAUCUCUAGUGAUCCAAAUGCUCUAAAAUUUUAUGGAUGGAAAGAGGAGAUGAUUGCAGACAACUUUUAUGAAGAACACUUUGCCAAAUGUUGAUUGAAUCAAUGUCAUUUCAUCCAGCCAACAUGCUUAAGUGUUGUUGUCCACCAAGUCCACUAAAUCAAUAGUUGGCCACUACAUCAAUAAUCAAUUACCAAAUGAAUAGUUCUGAAUUUUAGCCUAUAAAAGGAGACAAUUGCAAUUCAUUUAGGCAUCUUGGUUUUUAGAUCAAGAUCAUGUUCUUGCUCUCUCUUUAUAUUUUUGUAAUGCUUAAGUUUUGCUUUCAUUAAUCUCUUGUUUAUGCUUUUCAUUUUCUUUACUAUACUUAGUUAACUUAUAUCAUGUUUAUGUUCAUAUAUUGUUUAUUUAUGUUUUUCCUUUUCAUAAUGUCGAGCUAAGUUAAUUAUGUCAAGGUGAAAAGGUUUCACUAAUGGUGUUAGAAUAUGUAUAAUAUAAACUCAAUAUGGACUUCAAUGUUUAUAUCCAAGAAAGUUUGUUAUUAAUAUGUCAUAUCUUUUUAUCUUAUUAAUUCUUAAUACCUUGCUUGUUAAAUGGUUAAUCUAGAUUUGUGUUGUAUAACACUUGGUAAAUCAAAUGCUUGAUCCUUCAUAGUCUUCGGUCAACAUCAUUGUUAUGAGAUUAGCAUCAUGAAUUCCUGAUAAUAUUUAAAAGUAUGGUGUUACUAAAAUAAGAUAAUUAAUAUGAUCAUGUUAAAAAUUUAUAAUUAACUUUUACGGAUAAAUCAUCCUAUUGGAACCUCCUUUGUGUGUGGUUUCCAAUUGAGUAAUACAAAGAGUUUAUACUAUACUUAUUUCUAAUACCAUUAGUGGACCCUCUAACCUUGACAUUUGUUUGUAUUAUUGUUUAAUCCUCACAUUAAUCUUAUAUCUCAAAGAUCUCUUUAUAUAUAUAUAUAUAUAUAUAGUUAACUUUCCUGUGGAUCGACCCCGGUCUUGCUGAGUUAUUUAUAACUUUGACACUCCUUCACUUGAGAGAAGACAUCAAUCUUUUGGUCAUGUCAGUGCACUUCUUUCUAUUUCAGCUUGAUUCCAGACAUAAAAAGGUGGCACAUAACCAUGAUGAUUUACUAGGGCUUAUAAGACACUUUUUGAUUAAUUUAAGGUAAUUUCCAAUUAUCAUUGUACGUGACUUUAUCUCAUUAUCAAAGUUUAGGAACUUAAAUGUUUGAAUUUUGAGAGUUAGCUUUAAUAAGGAGAGUUUAAUUUAUAGAUGAAUUUUUGAGAGCUUUUGGAGCUAUGUUUGUAUCCAUGAUUUUGUAAUAUAUUCUAUAGAUGAUGACUAUAUUCAUGGAAUCUUGAAGCAUAUCAGUACAAGUCUUAACAAGUCUCAAUAUUUAGAGCUAAAGUUUUCACUGUAAGGACCAAAUGAAAUAAUGAAUGUUGUUUUAUAAUGAUUUUUUUUUUAUCAAUUUAAACUUGUUAGAAUCUUGAUUUCAUAUCAAUUUUUGAAUAUAUUGAAGUAUUUUAAAGUCUUCUGAUAAGAUCUCUAUUAUUAUGUAAUGGAUAUCUAAUAUAUUGGAGCACUUUGUUGAGAGGCUUGUGAUUUAUGACAUGUCUUAGUGCAUGAUUAGUACUUAAAAGUGUAUUUUAUCAAUGUUUUAUAUUAUCAUUUUGCACUUGAAGUAUCAAUAACUCCUUAACUAGAGCAUGUUUUAUAAUAACAAGUCUGAUAAUAUAAGAUAGCUUUAAUUUAUGGUAAAUGUUCAUUUUAAAUGCAGGCAUAUCUCACAAUUCAAAGGAUUGAUUGUUGUGAUUAACUAUUGAAACUGAAAGGACAAAGAAAAGGCUAAGCUUAGAAAGGAGAUGCGGAUUCAAUUCAAAUUGGAACACUGUUAAGUUAUUGGGUCAUAUGUGGAGCUAUAGUUCUUGGAUUUCAGUUUGGUUUAUAUGGCUAGAAAGAUAAGAAAUAGGCCUACAAUGUUCAUGAAUAGUGAAAGACCCAAAUCUUCCGUUUUCAAAUUCAAAGUUUGGCCAAAAAGAGAAGUCAAAAUCUGUCCUACAAUCCAGCCCAAACACUGCUCAUACUUUUACCCAUAGCUGGAGUUUUAAAAGGAAAAAUGAUGUCAAAUUUGGUGGGUGGAAGGAUAAGACAAUUUCCAACAACUUUCAUGAAGACGACCUGCUCCAAUUAUGAUGUUAAAAAUGACAUUUCAUCCAGACAAGAGCUUGAGGGUUGUCCACUACGUCCACUAGAAGCAUUACUCAGUAUUUUAGCCAUAUCUUUUUAUGGGUGGAAAGAGGAGAUGAUUGCAGACAACUUUUAUGAAGAACACUUUGCCAAAUACUGAUUGAAUUAAUGUCAUUUCAUCCAGCCAAAAUGCUUAAGUGUUGUUGUCCACCAAGUCCACUAAAUCAAUAGUUGGCCACUACAUCAAUAAUCAAUUACCAAAUGAAUAGUUCCAAAUUUUAGCUUAUAAAAGGAGGCAAUUGCCAUUCAUUUAGGCAUCUUGGUUCUUAGAUCAAUAUCAUAUUCUUGCUCUCUCUUUAUAUUUUUGUAAUGCUUAAGUUUUGCUUUCAUUAAUCUUUUGUUUAUGCUUUUCAUUUUCUUUACUAUACUUAGUUAACUUAUAUCAUGUUUAUGUUCAUAUAUUGUUUAUUUAUAUUUUUCUUUUUCAUAAUGUCGAGCUAAGUUAAUUAUAUCAAGGUGAAAAAAUUUCACUAAUGGUGUUAGAAUAUGUAUAAUAUAAACUCAAUAUGGACUUCAAUGUUUCUAUCCAAUAAAGUUUGUUAUUAAUAUGUCUUAUCUUUUUAUCUUAUUAAUUCUUAAUACCUUGCUUGUUAAAUGGUUAAUCUAGAUUUGUGUUGUAUAACACUUGAUAAAUCAAAUGCUUGAUCCUUUAUAGUCUUCAGUUAACAUCAUUGUUAUGAGAGGAACUUGAUUUGUUGUUAACAUAAGUUAGCAUUAUGAAUUCCUGAUAAUAUUUAAAAAUAUGGUGUUACUAAAAUAAGAUAAUUAAUAUGAUCAUGUUAAAAAUUUAUAAUUAACUUUUAAGGAUAAAUCAUCCUAUUGGAACCUCUUUUGUGUGUGGUUCCCAAUUGAAUAAUAAAAAGAGUUUAUACUAUACUUAUUUCUAAUACCAUUAGUGGACCCUCUAACCUUGACAUCUGUUUGUAUUAUUAUUUAAUCCUCACAUUAAUCUCAUAUCUCAAAGAUCUCUUUUAUAUAUAUAUAUAGUUAAUCUUCUUGUGGAUCGACCCCGGUCUUGCCGAGUUAUUUAUUACUUUGAACAAUCUUUUGGUCAUGUCAGUGCACUUCUUUCUAUUUCAGCUUGAUUCCAGACAUAAAAAGGUGGCACACAACUGUCGCACUCGACAUCGCGGCGGCCUUAAAAAUUAAUUCUCGAUUAUGGAAAAAGAACAGAUUUCUGACAUCUUAUUCUUUAAUGGGGAAUGAUCUUGUUUAAGGAGUCGCCACCUAGUAUUAUGGUCACUAGGAACCCUAACUGGUCAACAGAGAUUCUAUGGUUCGGGACUGGUUACAUAAAAGGGAAGAUAUUAUCACCCCUUAAACGUCAUGCCUAAGGCAGGCUGCAUUGCUGGUUUCGUCUUAAAUUGCUAAAUGUUUAUUAAUUUAUGUUAUGAAAAUUUUCUUAUAAUAUUCCUGACUCUGGCGCCAGUGAAUAUUUAACUACGAAUAUUUCCAACUCUGGCGUUGGUAAAUAUUACGUAGCUAUAAAAAUAAAUUUAAAUCAAUAUUUUUUUUAUUCCUGACUCUGGCGCCAGUGAAUAAAUAAAUAAUAAUACAUUUAUUUUUUUUGAAUGCACAUAUUUCUUUUUUUUUUCUAGCUAAAUAAAAUUGAAUAAACAAAUAAAAAUAAUAUAAAUUUAAACCGGUAUUUUUAUUCCUGACUCUGGCGCCAGUGAAUAAAUAAAUAAUAAUACAUUUAUUUUUUUGAAUGCACAUAUUUCUUAUGUUUUUUCUAGCUAAAUAAAAUUGAAUAAAAAAAUAAAAAUAAUAUAAAUUUAAACCGGUAUUUUUAUUCCUGACUCUGACGUUAGUGAAUAAACUAAUAAAUUUACAUUAUUUUUAUUCUCGCAUACACAUUUUUUUUUUCUGUAUUUUUUUUAUCAUUUUUUAUUUUUUUAUUUAUAUAUAUUUUUGGGCUGGGCCCAGCCCAUCAUAUGUUUUUGGGCUGGGCCCAGCUCAGCCCCAGUGACCCGGCUGGGCAAUAAAAAAAAUAAAGGCACGCGUGACUUGUUCACGCGUGCCCGAACACUGGUGAAGGUAAUUAAAUUACCUUCACACAGUGUUCUUGUAACAUUGAAUUGCUUUUUUUGAAUGAAGAUGCAAAGGGACGAAGUCAUACCUGCUUCUGGAGACGAUGAAGAAGGCUGCGAUGCUGGUGGCUGCUGCUUUCGUUCGACUGCUUUCUCUUCUCUCCCCGUUGUGCUCACUGUCUUCCUUUUUCUUUUCUUUUUUUGUUUCCCUGAUAUGUUGGAGGGGAUGAGACGAAGCUGCGGGUGAUUAGUGCACUGUGUUCUUUUUUGUCUGUGUCUCCUUGGUUUCCCAGUCCAGUGCGCUUCCCUCUGUUCGUUCUCCCUGUUUUGUUAUCUGCCUCUCUAUUUUUUUUGUCUCCGAUUCUCGGCCCCUGUUCCCUCUGGUUUCGGUCUCUGCUUCGUCCUCCUGUGGUGUUUCUUUUCUUUGAGAUCGUAUGAUUUUUUUCUGGUUUCUCCUGUUUCUUUUUUUUUUUUCUGGGUUUUGCUCUGUUUUUGCUUGCGUUUUUGGGUUUCUCUUUCGUUUUUAUGCUGGGUUGAUUUCUGCCUUCGUUCCUUGUUCUUAACUUUGCUUUUUCUGGGUUUUCUCCUCUGCCUCUGGUUUGUGUUUUUUGCUUCCUUUUAUAGAGACAACCGAUUGACCCCCCCCUAACCAUCUUCAAGAUUACAGGCGAGAGACGUGGUCCACGAUUUGGAUCGAAACUGUUGCAGAUCUUCAGCCUAUGGAAUCGGGAUGGAGAAGAUGACCAUGGCUGCUCCACCAGCAACGGCAGCGUUUUGGCAGCAAGAGAUAUUUUCAAUUUGACCCCUGAACUUUGGAAAUUCUGCAAUUGAACCCCUAAGCAAAUAAAAAUUUCUUUUAAUUUUGCCCUUUUGGAUAAAUUUCAAUUAAAUCCCUAAAUUGGUGCACUGUUUACAAAACAGUCCUUAAUUCCUGGAUUAUUCAAUUUGAUCCUUAAUUAAUUCUUUCAAUUUUGCCUUUUUUGGAUAAAUUUUAAUUAAGUCCCUGAAUUUAUUUAAUUAAUUAAAUCAAAGUUUAAUUAAGUCCACAAACUUAUUAAUUCUUUUAAUUUCAUUCAUUAAACUAAUCUAAAUUUUAAGUAAAUUUCCAAACUUAUUAAUUCUUCAAUUUUUGACUAAUUUAUUCUCAAAUCUGAUAAUUUUAUCCUUAAACUUCAAAAUUUAUUGUCUUAACUUCAUUGUCAACUAUAUUUAAUUUUUAUUAUUUGUUUAAAAAUUAUGUUAUGACAAUAACCAUGAUGAUUUACUAGGACCUAUAAGACACUUUUUGAUUAAUUUGAAGUAAUUUCCAAUUAUCAUUGUACGUGACUUUAUCUCAUUAUCAAAGUUUAGGAACUUGAAUGUUUGAAUUUUGAGAGUUAGCUUUAAUAAGGAGAGUUUAAUUUAUAGAUGAAUUUUUGAGAGCUCUAUGUUUGUAUCCAUGAUUUUGUAAUAUAUUCUAUAGAUGAUGACUAUAUUUAUGGAAUCUUGAAGCAUAUCAAUAGGAGUCUUAACAAGUCUCAAUAUUUAGAGCUAAAGUUUUCACUAUAAUAUCUAGGUUGAAUAAUGAGAUAGUGAAAUUUGGAUAACAAUUCAAGUAUGUAGAACCAUUAGCAAGAUUUGAUUGAAAGAUUGUAAGGAGUGAGUUUGAAGAGGUCAUAAAUUUAUGGUCUCUUGAAAACAUGAGUAUGGGAGAGUCUAAUCCGAGAUACUACAAUAUAAAUUAGACGGUGAUCAUUUUUAGUUUGGUUUGUUUUUAAAAAUCAAAACCGGUUCAAACUUUGAAAUUUUUAUAUAUGUUCGUUCUAUGUAUAUUUGUUUUCAAGCUUUGAAAUUUUUAUAGCUCAAUUAUUAUAAUUUUUUUAAAUUUUUUUAUGUGGGAAAAGAGUAUCAAAAUUGUGGGAAAUAUAUAUUAGAAUAUUUCAUGGACUGCACUGCUCUAUGAUUGUGCAUUUAUAGCCCAAUUAUUAUUAUUUUUUCUUUUUCCUGUUGAUUGCAUUUUGGAAUCCAUUUGAUUAGACAUAAUUUGAACUGGAAGAAUGAAUUGGGUUCACCUUCAUUUGUUCUGUUUUAAUGUGACUGAGAGCCUUAUUUUUUAAAAUGUAUUGUCACUCAUUUAGAUACUGGCUAAGUAGAGUUUGCAGUCAGAUUAACAUACAGCAUGCAUUCAUUCCAUUAAGCCCUAAUGGAGUGAAUGAAUAAAAUGACUUCUAUUAAAUGUUCCUCUACUACUUGGAUGCUGAACUGGAUAUUGGAGGUUCCCACAUUGCCCAUUGUUGGUAAUUUAGCACUCUGAAACAGAAGCUAGUCAAUAGGCGUCUAUAAGUUGUACAGAGAUUUUACAAUAGAAACUAUUCAAGUAAGAUUUUGGUGCAAUCAGUGUUCUAUAUGCACGAACAAAUUUGGGGCUUCACUGUACUACCUCAGAUACUCUCAAAAAAUGCUUCUUGGAAUUCGGAAGUUUAGACGAUCAUCGGUUGAAAUGAUGUUACCGUUUCUCUUUCUGAACGUUAUUUCCAGGUUGGAAAUUCAAGUAAUUAGUUCAAAUCCUAGAAGAUGAGUGGUGGCUUAGAAUGCUGUGAAAAAAUCGUUCCCUUAUUCAUUUUUCAAAAUAGAAAAGACAUAACUUUUUGCUUGAACUUCUAGAAUAUAAAAAAAUCUUACUUUUAUAUCUAGACACUUUCCAUCUAUGAUCUUUAAAUCUGAAGACAUAUCAUCGAUCUGGUUUUAAGAAAGUGCUAUUAACAUACCAAACUUUAUUAGAUUGUUGUUGUGCACUUAGGAAGAAAUAAAAUACUUGUCCUCCUUUAUUGUUUUCAAUAGCAUGAUCAGCUUCAUAGUUUUCUACGUUGUCUUUUUUACUAGAAGUACCUUCGUGAAUGUUGGGAAUUUCUGUCUUUUGCAUCUAUACCAGCACUCUUUUACUUGGUGUCCACCUCAUUUUCAAGUUCAUAAGUAGGAGGAAUGAAUGUAAAAAUAUAGCCAUUUUUUUUUCUGGUUUUUUGCUGGGAUUUUUAUUUAAAAUUUGACACAAGUGUUUAUAUAUAAACAUUUUGAUUUUUUUGUUUCCUAAUCGACGAGGAAUUCCACUCACAAGUAAUAUCUGUACAUUUUUUCUCAUGUUUGGUUAAGGCUAGGAAAGUGAAACAAAAAUCAUGUUAUGCUGUAUAAAAAGGUAAUGUAAGUGACUGGUUUCACCAUCACCGGUAAAGUGUCUGUAAUGACUGGUAUGGCCUGUGGGCUACAUUAUGCUUAGAUCCGUUAAAAUCAUGUAUGUAAUGACUGGCUAUGAAUGAGGUUUUUGUAAUUUUUAAAAAAUAAUAAUAAAUUCUGUGAUGUCCAAAGUACACUUAUUAUGGGCUUGAGGAAGUAUUAAUUUAUAUAGUUAACAUCUGGCCUUCCUCAUGUUUUUGCUUAUUUAUUGAAGUCACAAAGUUCUUUGUUCAUCUAUGGUGACACCUGUGUAGUUUAAAGUAAGGGCCUAUCAGAGUACACAGUUGUUAUAGCAUAAUUUUGAGAUACUUUCUUAGGGAUCGAUUGAGAUUUUUAUUGGCUGAGAACUCCCUAUAAGGUACUUGGAUGGUCAGCCAACAAUUUAGUGAUAUUUGACCGAGGCCUCUCCUGUUUUUGAAACUUCAAUGGUAAUGACCAUAGUUCAUUUUUCAACGCUUUGAUUAUAUAAAUUUUUUCCGGCUAGUCUUAUAGAGGACCUACUAUCUACUAUCUGACCACAUGUCAGCUUGACUCUGUUUGUUGCUGGUAUUAUUAUUUUGCUUGUUGAUUGCAUUUGUUUUUCUAUGCAAGAUGUUUUUCAAGCAAUUGCUAUCUAUUUGUAUGUCUGAAAUAUGCUAAGUUUGAGAAUUCCUUUCUUUUCUCCAUUCAGAGCGGUUGUGUGCAAAGGAUGAAUAGAUGUGAACCUGCUAUUGAUCAAUGGUAGAGAUUCGGUUCUGAAGGUGGCUUGAUCAAGUUAUCUUUGGAGUUGGCAUUUUUACACAGGCAGAUGAAAUUUUUGUUGUAUGCCACUGAGGAGCGAACCUCCUAUUGAAUCUGGAUUAGUUACAGAAUUUUAAAGACUUUUUAAUCCGCCUGAGAUUCUAAGCACCGAUUCUUUUACUCUCCCUAGGAACGCAAGGUUAGGAUAAAUGAGUCAGUUAGAUGCUCCACUGGUAUAUCCAUUUUUCAUUUUGCAUAGCUAGUGUAUGCUUGCAGCAAAAUAUUUUAUCCGUUGCAAUUAUAUUGUGAUUUUUCCAUUUUGAACUCGAGAAAUUUUAGUGUAGUAUCUGGAAGACCACAGAGUUACGUGCUUCGGCAGAAACAGUUGUAUACCUGAAUGAAAUCUCUUUUCAAUAAUAAGGUUUGAUUACUCUUUGGAACUCAUUUCCAGUGCAUGGUUCUCUAGUUACAUGCAAAAGUUGCAGGUUGUUUAAAAAUGGUGGUUAUUUUGGUUUUGGUGAUUUAAGCACUCAUUACUGCAAUAUCAGCAAUGAGAAAAAGCAACUACUGAAAAUUGCUCUUAAUGGUGAAAGCAUUAUGCAUCAGGCUUCCUCGGAGUGAAGGCUAGCCAUAGAUGCUUUUGUUUACUGAAGGUGUUAUUUGCAGCAGUUGCAUCUGCCUGCAUAACUGUUACUGGCUUCCAGCUUGGAUAAUUAGAUGGUGAUGUUGGAUUCUGUUGCAGCAAAACAGUUCUUGUGCUGGGAUUCUGAUGAAUCGCGGUGUGAUUUUUGUACUUAAUGUCAGAAGGUAAUGCAUAUCAUCCAUAUUGAGUUAUUCAUCUUCUUUAGGGAGCAAUGAACAUAAGUGGAUAAUGAGAUUUGGGAUUCAUGCUUGGAAAUGUUCUCACGUUUUGGGUUCGAAGGAUUGAAACAAUCUGCACAUUUCUUCUUUCUCUUGGUUCUUUGAAGUGAUAAACUAACUGUAAUAUUAAAUGUGUGAAAAUGAUUGCGGUUCAAAGUGCUUUUGGUUUAAAAAUACAUUAAAAUAAUAUAUUUUUUUAAAAAAAUAUUUUUGAUAUCAGGAUAUCAAAACGAUUUGAAAAUAUAAAAAAAAUAAUUUUAAGCAAUUUUUGUUUCUUUCAAAUUUUGGUGGAACGUGGUUUGAACCGCAUUUCUAAAUGGGGUCUAAGUAUAAAACUAAAAGGUAUGAGUUUUUCACCAUGCAUGAUCUUACUAUUCAUUUUCUCAUGUAUUACUGUCAAUGAACUGUAAAAACUUUUUGUUUUUUCAAUUUGGUUCUUAAACUUCAUUUUGAGCGAUUUAGUCCUCAUUAAAGGCCAAUUGAUUUUGAUUUCUUAUGAAAAAAAUAAGAUUGAAAGAAGAGAGAUCUAAAUGAAAAAGGCAUCAAACAUGAUGACAUGCUUUAAGUUUUGAAAAUGAUGCACUUUGGUCCUCAAAUUUAAAAAAACACAGAUUAUAUAAUUUUGAUACCUUAAUAUUUUUCAAUUUAAGUUUGGUAUGAAAGUUUAUUUUUGUUAUUUUUUUAGUCCAAGGUUAAGAGUGGAGAGAGAAGUCGCUGGAUUCCAACGGUAGAGAGAGAAUCAUGUCGUUGGCAUUGAUUUAGACUAUUAAAACGGAUGAUAUUUGUGUCAAAUAACUUUUUUGAAUUGAGAGAAAUGCGUUGAAAAAACCUGCAUAUAUAAUGUUUUUAUAGAAAAUAAAAAUAUUUGACCUGUAAAGGAGCACAAGUCAUAUAACUACUAGUAGUACUAAAUUGAAGUGAUAAAAAAUAAUAUAAAGCACAAGUAAAUUGCAUAGAUAAGUCAUCAAUGACACAAACCCCUCCAUAUAUAGAUAAUUGAGCAUCGAUUCUUAAGUUUAGGGAGACACAUGGUGGCCAUGUAAGUCUAUACUGGAUCCAUGCGCUUGCAAGUAAUGAUGGAUUCUCAUGAGUCCUAGAAUUCAACAUGCUUAAGAAUAUAACGGACGUGUUGGAUAAUUUGUUGAUUUCUUAGUUCAAGUAAUCUGAUCCAUUCUUCAUAGUUAAUGUAUCUAGUGACUUGAUAUGAAAAGCCUAAAGGGUUGGUAACUAGUAGCAGGUGAUGUCUGGCAAGCCAGGUGACUGGUAGUUGGUACCUAUAAAAGGUCCUCUUUGAUGGAUUUGGAGAUUCUUCGAUAGUAAAGUUAGUAACUUUAUAGAGAGAGAAGAAGCAAUAAUAUUUUAGAGAGAGAUACUCUGAAAAUAUAUACAUAGUAGAGAAUGAAGAUAUUGUGAACCUUUGACUUGAAGGAUUUAUGGUGUAUUUAUAGCUCAUGAAUCUUAUCCUUUUUGUGGAGAGGAGGGACUGAAGUGUAAUUUCAAUAUUAUAAUAUUUUGAGUUGUAUUCUACUUAAAAUAAUACGUAUUUGAUCAAUAUAAAAUAUUGAGAGACUUGUAUGGGGUCCAGAAAAAAUUCUCUAACGAAUGUUGGGCUUGGGCAGGGUGCACGAGCCUAUUGGAGGUGAAAGUGGGUUCAAGAGCACUACUUAGACCCAAACAUACUGGGCUUGGUAUGACAACUUGUGCCCAUGAGGGCUAUAAGGUGCGCGCCCAUGAGGGCUAUGGGGUGUCUGCCCAGCAUCACCUAGGCGUACGCCUUACAUUGGUGUACACCUAUUGGGGUGCAUUAGGUGUACAUGCAUGUACUGUGCAGACGCCUAAUACAUUGUAUAGUGCCCAUGCACUUGGCGUCCAUAUGCCUAUGCAGGGAGCAUGCUCUUGGUGUGUGAUAGCUCGAGCUCGUGUUUCUUGGAUGUUUUUUGAGCUUUUUUUUUUACGAUUUUUUUUGGAUCAAUUUUGGAGAAUUUUUUAGAUUUAUUUUAUUUGUAUCCAUCAGAUUCUAUUAUCAAUUUAAAAAUUUUGAAGUGAUAGAUUAAGAAUAUAUAUUGUAUAUAAGUUCCUCAUUUUCCAUUCCUAACCCAAUAACACAUCUUGAAACACUAAACUGGCGUGAACCUUAAAAUAGAAAACUAAAUUUUAUUGAAAGUUUACCCCUUUCACAAUAUCUGACAAAGCAAUGGAUAGCUUCUACAAAGAGGAUUUUUUAGGAAAAUUUAUUUAUUUUCUUAUUAUUUUUACUAUUUUUUCUAUUUAGUGUAAGAAGUUAAAUUUUAUGUUAAUAUUUUUAUUUUUUCUAGUUUAUUUAGAAUUUUUAUUACUUUUGUUUUUUGUAUUUUUAGGUUUUCUAGUUUGUUUAGGUUAGUUUUUAGGUUUAUCUAAGAAGUUGUAAACCUCUUAGUGAAAAAGGCUAUAAGAACAUAAAAUAUUCAGUAAUAAAAUUAUAAAUUAGGAUUUUGCGAGAUAGUUUUAUUUGGCUUCAAUUAUGUAUUUAUAGCUUAUUGUUUUUUUUUUUGUUUCUAGUUAGUUGAUAUUAAUUACAGUCCAACGAUACCAAUUGUUAUUUGCUUGUUAUGUGCUUAAAUAACUAUGACUGGAAGGGGUAGUAGAAUAAGACAUGCUCGUAUAGGAGUGGAUGAAGAGGUUCCCCUUGAGAAAGAGAUGUUUAAAAGAUGGUGAUAGAAGACAUGCAACGAUAAAUUGCAAAAUUGAAAAGAGAUUUUGGGAUGAUAUAAGACAUGCAUAAAAAAUUGCAAUAUUAACCCAUUAGUUGGAAGAGGUAAGGAGCCUAGGGUAUCUUGAGAAAAGUGAUCAUGGAUCUAUUGUUAAUUUUGAGAACUUGUUUAAAAGACAGUAAGCAAAUAAAAUAACUUGUUGAUUGGGAUGAAUAUGAUAUUGAAUCUAAAAUUUUUGAUAACUCUAGUUUCUUAGUGGACUAGAAUCAAAUACUAAAAUUUGACGAGGAUAAUGAAAAUGACGGCAAAGGAAAAGAUUUAAAGGCAAAUUUUUUAAUUAGUGAUCUCCACGAGAAGAAAUCAAAAUUAGAUGUGUGUUUAAGAAAAAUUUUAGAAUUAAUGAGGUGAAAGCUGAUGCUAUUGCAAUUCAGCUCAUGCAAGACUUACAAGUCGUUGGCAGUAUCCAAUUCGAAUAUUAUAGACUUCGUCUAAGGUAGUUUACAAAGAAAGUACCCUUAAGACGUGAUUAUAAUAAAAAGUCUAUAUUUCCUGAAAAACAGAAAAGAAAAACACUACAAAGCUGAGAAAGGCAGACAAUAUCGAUUGUCAAAAUCUGAAGGAUACUCAAAUGAGUUUCGGAAAUAUUGAGGAGGGUGUAGGAAAACCUGAAAAUGUACGAGAGAACACAACCCCAUCAUGGGUUGCUGUAAUAUGAUAGAAUGGAAUGAAAAACAUAUUGGAAUGAGCAAUAACUAUUACUUGAUUUUUCUAUUUUCUGGUUGUGUAAUUAUCAAUCUGUAAGUGUUACAUAUUGAUCCCGUCUACACUGGCAUUUUUCUCAGCAGAUUGUUGAAGCUGCAAUGCAAAUUCAAGGCCCCAAACGACAUCACCCAUUUUAGGGCGUUCAAUUCCUUGACCAUGUAAGCAACUGUUAGCAAUCUCUGCAAAGUUAUUUAAAGAGACAGGGGAAACCUCGCCCUUUAAAUGUGGAUCCACGAUCUGAUCAAGGGUUCCUCUUUGGUAACAUUUUCGUGCCCAGUCAGCUAAGCUUGCUUGAUCUUUCGGUGAACCUGGAAUCACUGGUGGCCUUGCACAUAGCACCUCAAACAAAACCACACCGAAUGAAUAAACAUCAGAUUUCUCUGUCAGGUGUUGCCUACGGUAGUACUCUGGAUCCACAUAUCCAAAGCUACCUCUAACUCCAGUGCUAACAUGGGUUUGGGAUGUACUAGUGGGACCUAAUCUGGACAGCCCAAAAUCUGAAACCUUAGCCACCCAAUUCUCAUCUAACAAUAUGUUUGUUGACUUCACAUCACGGUGAAUGAUUGUGUGCUUUGCUCCUGAAUGAAGAUAAUGCAACCCUUUAGCAGCACCGAUGCAUAUUUCUAGCCUUUGCUUCCAUGGAAGAGGAGAGUUCUUUGUUUUGUAUAGAUGUUCUCUAAGAGUGCCUCUUGACAUGUAAUCGUAUACAAGGAUCAUCUCGCCAUGAUCAUCACAGUAUCCAAUCAGUGACACUAGAUGAAGGUGGCGCAGAUUGGAUAACAUCUCAAUCUCUGUCUGGAACUCACGUGUCCCUUGCUUUGAUGAUGAAUCUAGUCGUUUGAUGGCUACUGCGAUGAAACCGUAUUCAAUGUAUCCUUUAUACACAGUACCAAAUCCCCCUGAACCAAUAAUAUUUUGAUCAUCAAAGUUUCCUGUUGCUUCGUUGAUUUCGAAAAAUGUAAACCGUCGGCAAAGAUCAGUAGGUAGUGAUGAAGAGAUUGUAGUCGUGGACCUAGAUGUUUGUGAUAUUAUAGUACAGGAGGAUUUUUCCUCACUCUUGCUAGGGUCCUCGACUCGCUUCUGCUUGAAAGCAAAGAAAUAAAGAAUAAGAGAGCAAGCAAAUACUGCACCUAUGGAACCUCCAACGAUGGCUAUAACCGUAAGUAUUGAUGAUCUUUUGCCCGUUCUUCUGUCUUGUAGACUUGGAUGUUGUUCUGCUGGUGGAGGAGCCACUGUUGGCUCAGGGUUGAAUCCUGCAAGAUUUCCGCCUGUUCUAUUCAGCUUGAAUAUUUCCAAGCCAUUCAAGAUUGCAUCAGCGUAAGUAGGUUUCAGUUCCAUGUUAGGGUGUAGUUCGAGCCACAAGCCCUGCUUGCUCUGGCUCCCUGGAGGGACCCGCACCAUGUAGUCUUUGUAAACUGGAAUGCCGUUGCCACCGCUCAUAUGGAUCACAUCUGCAUCAUCCUGUGCUGUUUGAUUGUUGAUGAAUAUUAAAAAUACCUGUUG
rnacentral:lncRNA from 1 species